rnacentral:lncRNA from 1 species
CCACACUUCACUUCUAACAAUAAACGAAGACUAUUACAACUCAAAAGAAACACUUCUAUUGCCAACACCAAACAAUUACCUAGUAAUAGCUUGGUCGCAAUCAAUUGCUCGAUUUACUUGCUUGCUCCUUCUUGCUUUUCCGAUUUUCAGAUCUGUGGAUUUUCAAAAGGUGUGUGCACCGCUUCCCAGCAAUGCUGCAUAUAUACUGCUUUCUCUUUGACUCCCUUUAGGUCACCAAAAACGUUUCCUUGUGGAAACCAACUUGUAUAAGGAAACCUGCUAUCAUACACCUCUUUACCAUGAUAAAAAAGAUUUCCCUUUUGACUUAAAGUUUUGGAUUCUUUUCAAUACGUUAAUUGUACAUUCCUUAUUUAAACAAGUACGCUGCUGCACCUCACCUAGCUAAAUAUUCAUCCCCACAAUAGCCAAGAACCUGGUUCAUAAUCAACAUGAAACUGGUUCAGAGGUCAAUCAUCAAAACUAUAAUUUCAUAUCUCCUAGACACAGGUACAGCAUAACUUCACAAACAUAGUCCCCAUGUCUCACCAAAAACAAUGCAACGAACUUCCCCCUUUUGGCAUCAUUGAAAAGAAGACAAAACAAAUUGGUGCAGAGAAUGCUCACUAGAACACCACCAAAAUAGUAAGCAAAAAUCAGCCCAAUGAUAUUAAUUAUCCAGUUGCAAGCAUAAACACAGAAAACAGAGCAAACAACAACAAACAAGGCAUUGUACCAACAUAAAAAGCACUAUAUGUGCUGCACAAAAAGGUCAAGUCUGAGCACUAGUCAAAACAAAAUGUACUAGAGGGAACAAAACAAGAAAUACGGGACUAAGAGGAGGGUGGUGGAGGAGGUGAAGGAAUCCUGCCAACCAAGGACAUCAUCAUCUCAAAACGCCUGCCGAGAGCAAUCUGUUCAUCUAACAUUUGAGCGGACUGGGCAGCCUGUAAGUCCUGUCGAAGUGCAAAAAUCUCACCCUCCAAAGUAAGUGCACACUCCCGAGCAAGCUGAAAUUCAGCAAGAAUGCUUGCCACAGAACAUUUUCCCUGAGCUCCAUGUUCUCGAAACCCACAUUCCUCCAACGUGGAAGCUCGAAUCAUCUCCUGCUUGGUGCAAGCUUUGCCCUUACCUCAAGGAACCUCGAAAUAAGCAAAGAUGCGGGAUAAGAAAUACCCAUAAGGUAGCCCAUGUGCACCUCGAUCAGGGUUAAUCACCCUUGUCAUAUGCUUAAUCAUUAACUCGGGCAGAUUGACAUGUUCAUGAGAGUCCAGAGCUUCCAUAAGGCACAAGUCAUGUCUACCCACCUCGUGUCGACGCUCAGAUCGAGGAAACUACACUUUGUUAACCAAUUCGAACAAUAAUUGAUGAUGAGGCAGCAUAAAACUCUUCCGCAAGUAGACUCCUCUCCCUGAGAGUACUUCCGAAUAAGUGGGGCAGCAUAUGUAGUAUCAAUGUCAUAAACAGAGUAACCAGCUACUAGAAUUUGCAAAAUCUGGGCAAUCUUAUUAGCAUCCAACUCAAUAGCAACCCCCAUGACCAAAUUUGCACCAAGAGCCAGCAAGUCCUCUGAACCAAGACCUUUUUCAUGACCAAUGAGGUUAAUUUCUUCCCCUGAGAGCAUGCCAAUGGAGAGAGAUGUGGAGUAAUGGAUGAGCAGUGGGUUUCAGAAAGGGGUAUAUCAAGGGUUAGAGUGUGAGAGUGAUGUGUGGGAGAUGGAACACCACCAGGACUGUGGGUGGCAUUGGCUAAGGGCAUAGGGACAGUGAAAAUAUCAUUCCCACUAGGAGAAUCGGACAUGGUUUUGGUUUAGGGUGGAGACGAGUCAUCAUCGUCGGAAUACUCCACCAACGACCGAGUAUUGGACUCCAUUGAUAAAGGAACAAGAAGAAGAUGAGGAUUUUGGGGUUUUCUGGACAAAGAGAAGAAGGAAUUUUUUAAAAAAAGUUUAAGAGGAUUGAUGGAGAAGAAGCUGUGAGAAGGGGAGACGAAGAGGAUUUAUCAAAUUUUUUUAAAUAGGGAAGGAAAAUGGGUUUUGUGAAGAGAAGAGGCGGUUUUGACUUGAUUUGUGGGGUCCACACACAAUAUAUGACUAUAUGGUGCAUACCUGAUAGUUUAUUUGUUUUUACCCUUCUCCGUGCUCAGUUUCUCUGGAUGCUAAAGUAUAAUCAAUGAACUAUCUCGCCUUGUAUUUUGAUGAUGCCUAGAAUGUGUACCUAUAAAAAUAUGAAACUAAAUUAGUUAAGUACAAGCUGGUGUUUGUCAUCUUUCCUAGCCAAAGUACUUAAGGGGAAGUUCAUAACAUUAGUUCAUAGUGAGUAGACCAAGCUCCACCCAGUUCUUUUCAAAAUUCUCUUUGCUCAAGGCCUUAGUGAAUAUAUCCACUAAUUGAUCCUCAGUUUUACAAAAAUGGACUUCAAUUUUUCCUUUCUAAACAUUGUCCCUCAAAAAGUGAUGUCUUACAUCAAUAUGCUUAAUCCUCUUGUGGUGAACCGGGUUCCUAUCCAUAUUUAUGGCACGUGUGUUGUUGCACAUGAUUGGAAUACGAUCUUCACGUCAUAAUCCUCCAAUUGUUGUUUAAUCCAUAAUAACUGUCCACAACAAGAGGCAGCUGCAACGUAUUCAGCCUCAGCUGUGGAUAACGCGAUGAAAUUUUUUUUUCUUAUGGCCCAUGAUAUUAGGAACGAACCCAAGAAGUGAGCCAUCCCAAAAGUGCUUUUAUGAUCGACUAAGUUUCCAGCAUAGUCUGUAUCUGCAUACCCUACCAGGUUUAAUGAAUCUCCACAAGGGUACCAGAGAACCAGGUUCUGAGUUCCCUUGGGGUACCUAAGAAUCCAUUUAACAACUUUCAAGUGUGGUUCCUUAGGAUUUGACUGAAACCUGGCACAUAAAACAACACUGUACACGAUAUCUAGGCAACUUGCUGUGAGAUGCAUAAGUGAACGAAUCAUUCCCCGAUACCUGGUCUCUGCAACAGGAAUAGUAGACUCAUCCAAAUUCAGUUUUUUGCUAACACUAAUCGUAGUGUCGUUUGUCUUUGCAUGACCCAUAUCAAACUUGUGCAGCAACUCCUUGAUGUACUUCUGCUGAUGAAUGGAUAUCACCUUAGGAGUCUGUUUAAUUUGAAGACCAAUAAAAAAUGUGAGUCCACCCAUCAUACUCAUUUCAAACUCUCCGCUCAUCAUCUUUAUGAAUUCUUCACAUAAAGCUUCAUCAGUGGCACCAAAGAUAAUAUCAAGCACAUACACUUGUACGAUCAACAAACUUGUUCCUCUUCAUAUGAUAAACAACGUGUUGUCGAUUUUUCUGCUAGAAUACCCAUGGUUAAGCAAAAAUUUUGACAACCUAUCAUACCAUGCUCUCGGCGCUUGUUUCAAGACAUACAAUGCUUUGUCUAGCUUGUAGGCAUAUUCAGGAUGCUCAUGACUUUCAAAGCCUGGUGGCUGACAAAUUCAGUUUUCCUCCUAAAGAUAAGCAUUGAGAAAUGCACUUUUUCCAUCCAUUUGGUACAAAGUAAAGCCCAUAUGAGCAGUAAAAGCUAUGAGCAAUCGAAUAGCCUCCAUUCUUGCCACUGGUGCGAAGGUUUCUUCAUAGUCAAUGCCUUCCUCUUAGUUGUAUCCCUAAAAAAUUAACCUUCCUUGUUUCUAGUUAUUUAUCCUUGGUCACCCUUUUUAUUUUGAAACACUUAUCGAGUUCCAAUAAUUGUUUGGUUUGGAGGUGCAGGAACCAGGUUCCAGACUUUGCAGUGCUCAAAUAGGAUCAGCUCUUCUUGCAUAGCAAAGAUCCACUCAUCAUACAACGGUACUUCCUUAAUAUUGUUUGGUUCCACCAAGGAAACAUAAGCUGGGAAGGCCCAUAAGUUUCUCAAUUUUGAUCUAGUCUUCAUAUCGGAGUCUACGGGAGCAAGAAUAUUUUCCACAGGGUGUGAGCUCUUAUGUUUCCAAUUACAGACCUGUGAUCUUUGACCAUCUUUUGAUGUUGAGGUACCUUGUACUUGUGUACUGGUAUUUCCUGGUCCGUCAAGUUCUUCAUUCCCCCCUCCCGACAUUGGUAACCCCUCACUGGUGUGGGAUUUAUCACUGGUGUUGCUGGUUGAUCAUUUUCCAGAAUAACUUGAGAACCAAGUUCUCUCUGAUUUUGGAAACUAGGUUCUUGUUGUGCGGAAACUUCGUGAUCCUCAUCAUCAUCCCCGAAAAAUCCAAGUCCUUCCGUAUCAACCUGCAUACUUUCCUCAGCCAAGUGAUUAGUUUCAUCAAGUAUCACAUGAACACUUUCUUCAACAUGAUUAGUUCUUUUAUUUAACACUUUAUAGGCCUUACUCUGGGAUGAGUAAACAAGAAAAAUUCUCUCAUCACUUUUGGCAUCAAACUUUCCAAGGGGUUCUUUGCCAUUGAUAUGAGCAAAGAAUUUACACCCAAAAGCCCGUAGAUAAGCAAGAUUUGGUUUUCUUCCUUUCAGUAACUCAUAAGGAGUUUUGUCAAGGAGAGGACAAACCAUGCAUCUAUUUAAAAGGUAGCAUGAUGUGUUUAUAGCUUCAGCCCAAUUUCCCAUUGGAAGACCACUAACAAUCAACAUAGUUCUUGCCAUGUCUUCCAAGGUUCUAUUUUUUCUUUCUACAACCCCAUUUUGGUGUGGGCUUCUAGGGGCGGAAAAAUUAUGGUCUAUUCCAUGUUCAGCACAAAAUUAAACAUAUUUGAAUUCUCGAAUUCCAUACCAUGGUCAGACGACCUGAUGCUCAUGAUUUCAGAGUUCAUUUUCUUUUGAACCAGUUUCACAAAAACCACAAAUACAUCAAAUAUGUCAUCUUUAGACCCAAGAAAGAGAGUCCAGGUGAAUCUUGUAUAAUCAUCAAAAAUUACAAACACAUACCUUUUACCUCAUCUGCUUUGAACUCGCAUAGGCCCACAUAGAUCUAUGUGCAAAAGUUCAAGAGAUUUGGAAGUACUGACCAUUUUCUUAGGCUUGAAGGAUGAUCUGACAUGCUUUCCUCUUGCACAAGAAUCACAAAUAAUGUCCUCAUUGAAUCGAGUUUUAGCUAGUCCAAGAACCAGGUCCUUAGCAACCAGUUUGUUCAGCUGAGAAAAUCUAGCAUGCCCCAAUAUUUUGUGCCAUAUCAAGUUGGUUUCAGCAACCGCACUAAGACACAUAAGAUUGUUUCCAUGAGGUUCCAAAAUGUUUGACUUGUAUACAUUUUUGUAUCUUUUUCCUUUCAAGACUAGGUUCCCAGUCUUUGAGUUUGUAACAUGACAUUCAGCGGAAGUGAACAUCACAUUGUUUUCGUUAUCGUACAUCUGAGACACACUUAGAAAAUUGUGUUUUAGACCAAGAACAUAGUACACAUUCUAAAUUGUAUGAGAUUGAUACUUUCCAUCUAUUCCAAUCUCAAUUAUUUCACAUGUUUUUCCAUUUCCAAAAGCUACACUUCCCCCUUUGAAAGUCUAUAAGUCUAUAAGUGAGAGGAAAUUUUCAUGUGCUCCCAUUAUAUGUUUGGAAAUAGCACUGUCUAGAUACCAAGGCUUGUUCCCUCUCCUCACCUUUAGCUACAAAACAAGUCAGAAGUUAGAUUUGGGCACCCAGAUCCUACUUGGGUCCCAUCUUAUGGAAGAAUGGAUGAAUCAAGUUUCUUCUGGCCCAAGCGGGCAGUCUAAAUUUUUGAAGCUGGAUCUUAGAAGGUUGCUGCCAAGUUUUCUUAACAAAAUCUUUAUUUUUCAAAAUCCCUUUAAAUCUAGCCUAGCAUUGAUUUCUAAUGUGACCAGUUCUACCACAGUGGGUACAAAGACUUUCCUGAGAGACACGUGUCUCUUGUUCAGGAUGCUUCUCCUUUUCAUAUCCCAAGCAAUGUUUGUUUGUAGACUGGAUUUCUUGUAUUUAGAGCAACAUCUAUGAGGACUUGGGCCACUUGACAUGCCGUUCCAAAUCAAGUUUGGUUUUUUCAAGGUUUUCCUGUAAAAUUCUAUUUCUUUCAGUUGCGUCUUGAAGAUUUUCUUUUAAUUUCUUAACUUUUUCUUCUAAUACAAUCAGAGAGAAAUCAACUUCACUUUUACCUUUGAGGGAUGAGCCAAGUCAUUUUUUUCCACUUCAAAAUUUACAACAAAACUCUCAAGUGAAGUAUUUUUAUCUUCAAGAUCCUUAUAUUCAAUUCUCAAAGAGGCAUAGUCAUUCAUGAGUUGGUCCUUCCCAGAUAACACUAAGUGGUAUGUCUCUAUAAGAACAAUCGACAAGGAUUCUAGUUUCUUAUUAGAGUAAGUGUUGAUUUUAGAUUUGAGGUCUAGAAAACUUACCUCGAGUUGUUUAUCGUCAUCUUCAUCUGAAUCAGAACUUGCCAUUAAGGCAAGAAUGUUCUCCUUUGGCUCCUUGUCUUCUUUCUCAUCAUCAGAAUCUGAAAAUGCCAUGAGAGCCAUGGUAUCCUCUUCGUUUGAGCAUUCAAUGACCAGUAGAGAUUGAUUUUUAGGAUCAUCGUCAGGUUCUCCUUCAGAAGAGUCUCCCAUUGCAGCCAAUGCCUUUUUCACCGCGAUGUCGGCUUCAUGAGCAGUCAUCCUUCGAUUUGAAAGAAUGGUGUACUCCUUUCUCGAUUCGUUUGCCUUGUCCAGAUGGUUCUUCUUGUACUCAAUCUCCCAUUGUGGGAAAAAUUUAAUGAAGUGGUCUGGGCUCCCACAUUUAUGACAUACUUUGUCACGAUUGACCUUUUUGUUAUUUUUGGAGACCUGGUUCCUCCUCUGUGAUUUCAUACUUUUUUGAAACAUCUUUUGGAACCUUCUGGUCAUAAGAACCAUAUUUUAUUUCUCAAAAUCAAAUUUAUCAGUGGCCUUUAGAACCAAUUUUUUUAUUUUCUACCACUGGUCAUCUCACGCCCUUGAUUCUUUUUGAGCUCAAAAGUAGUCAAUUUUUCUAUUAGCUCAUCCAUGGUUAGAGUGUCCAGAUUACAUGCUUCAGAAAUUGCUUCAACCUUUCUCUCCCAUGACUCUGGUAACACACUGAGAAGUUUUUGAUUUGUCUUUCCGCUGGGAACAACUCCACUGAGUGAGUAAAUCUCAUUCAGAAUUGACGUGAACCUGGUAUGCAUUUCCUGAAUAGUCUCUCCCUCCUUCAUCCUGAAUAGUUUGUAUUUCCUGUUAAGCACGUCAAUAUUGGAUUUCUUCACUUGACUGGUACCUUCAUGGACCUCUUGUAGAGUGUCCCAAAUUUCCUUUGCGGUGGCACAGGAUGAUAUCCUAUUGUACUCAUCAAGACCAAUGCCACAUAUUAGGAUUUUUUUUGGCCUUCGCAUUGUUCUGAACACUUAUCUUAUCAUUUGCAUCUAGUUCAAAUCUUCCUUUCGGAACCUGAGUCUUGCCAUCUUUACUAGAUUUAGUGGGGAUUGUUGGCCCAUCUAGCACACCAUUCCAUAAAUUGUGAUUUCCUUCGAUAGUAAAGUUCAUCAUUCUAUUUUUACACCAUCUGUAGUACUGUCCAUUGGAAAGAGGAGGACGGGUCUAUGAGGCUCCUUCCUUGGAUGUUGGUUGGGUAGCCAUGGAUCUUUUUUAAGGCAUUAACCUUAUAUUGAAAAGAUCGCUCUGAUACCAAUUGAUAAAAUAGCUAACUUCACCACACGUAUUUGGAACCUGGUUCAGAGAAAUAUAGUAACAGUAAAAGCAAACUGCAACAGAAUUAAGCCAAGAGAUUUCAAUUCCAAUCUCCACUACUUUCAUAGCGUUUCAGAUUACAACUCAGCAAUCUAAGGGGCUCACUCGAGUACCUCACUUCGAAAGUUAACACUAACUAUUCUACACACAACUUAAUCACUCCAAGAAAUCAAACUCACUUCGUGUUACAACUCCUCACCCACACUUUUACUUCUAACAAUAAACGAAGACUAUUACAACUCAAAAGAAACACUUCUAUUGCCAACACUAAAUAGUUACCUAGUAAUAGCUUGUCUCGAUCAAUUGCUCGAUUUACUUGCUUGUUGCUUCUUGCCUUUUCCGAUUUUUAGAUCUGUAGAUUUUCAAAAGGUGUGUGCGCCAAUCCCCAGCAAUGCUGCAUAUAUACUGCUUUCUCUUUGACUCCCUUUAGGUCACCAAAAAUUUUUCCUUGUGGAAACCAACUUGUAUAAGGAAACCUGCUAAAAUACACUUCUUUACCAUACUAAAAAAGAUUUCCUUCUGACUUAAAAUUUUGAAUUCUUUUCAAAACGUUAAUUGUGCAUUCCUUAUUUAAACAAGUACGCUGUUGCACGUCACCUAGCUAAAUAUUCCAGCACCACAAUAACCAAGAACCUGGUUCAUAAUCAACAUGAACCUGGUUUAGAGGUCAAUCAUCAAAACUAUAAUUUCAUAUCUCCUAGACUUCACAGCCUCCAUCAACAACUACAACUACCUUCUUCAAAAGCGAAUUGUUAGAUGAAGUUGCAUCAAACUACUAAUGCUAUCUUUGAAUUCCAAUGUCUGGUGACCAAUAAAUAGAUUUCACUAUGAUAGAAAAUGGUAUCUACAACACCAAAACAGUCCGCAAACAACCUACAACAACAUGCCUAAAAACCGCAAAAACAAGACACAAGAUGACACUAGAAUUAAACACAAAUGGAAAACGAUAAAAGAUAGGUAACUUGACAGAAGGAGAAUAUGAAAUGUAGAAACUAAAGAGUGUAUCAAACUCUAAAACCUCUACAAACCACAUUAACAAGCACCAAUUUAUUACGCGAACACAAGAGAACUCGGUUCACUCAAGCACUCAUGUUUCUAGCCGUUUCACUACACAAGUGGAACUUUUCACUUGUGAUGUUCAAAUGUUUGGUGGUCUACUCUCUUCUUGAAAGGAAAAUGAUGUUCAAUAUUACAAGUGAUUUCAAUAAUAAGCUAAUUAAGGAACAAGACUAAAGGACACACUUUAAAUAGCCUAUUACAAAAGGUUAGCAAAAGGACCCCUUUACCAUUAUUGAAGGGGUGGCAGGUGUGCAGUGUUUUGGGGAAACCUUGGGUGUAUUUUGAUCACCUAAGUCCAUCCCUCACAUUUCAAUACGUACACUCACUUGGGCGAGUUCACAACAAGAUCAACCGCGUCCAUUUUCAUAAACGUGCUUUGAAGUCGUUGUAGUUCUCAAGCUUGGCUUCUAGUAAAUGGUCUCAAGCCCAUGACACCCGUAUCAUCCUCUCCAUAUUGAGAGAAGUAGAACUCAAACUCAUGGGUUAUUCAUCUUCAAUGGUAUCAAUCCAUGAAAGAUCACACACGUUGAACAUGUUAUAUUCUUGGUAUUCCGAUGGCAAGUCAUUCUUGUAAGCAUUGUCAUUGAUUCUUUCAAGAACUUAGAAUGGACCAUCACCUAUUGGCAGUAACUUUCCCUUUCUUUUGUUGGGAAACUGGUGUUUUCAUAGGUGUACCCACACCCAAUCUCCCGGCUCAAGCACAAGAUGCCUUCUUCCUUUGUUGACUCGCUUGGCCACCUCUUGCUUCUUCUUAUCAAGCCACUAUAUCACCUUCUCAUGCAAGAUUUUCAUGGCUUUGGCCCUUUUGUUUCAAUCUAAUAGAACAACAAUAUCACUUGGCAAAGGAAUUAGAUCCAAGAGGGUUAGAGGAUUGAAGCCGUAGACAUAUUCAAAGGGCUUGAUGCUCGUACUUGAAUGGAUCACCCAAUUGUAAGAAAAUUCAAUGAUAGGUAGUGAUAUUCCCAAGAUGUCAACUUACUUUUAACCAUGGAACAUAGCAUAGAACCCAAGGUUCUAUUUACUACUUCUGUUUGGCCCUCUGUUUGUGGGUGGCAAGACGUAGACAACAACAACUUGGUACCGAGCCUACCCCACAUUGACUUCCAAAAGUAACUAAGUAACUUGGAGUCCCUAUAACUUACAAUUAUCUUUGGGUUGCCGUUCAACUUAACCACAUGUUCAAUAAAAAAUGAAGCUACAUUAGCUGCAUCUUCACUAUUUUUACGAGGAAUAAAGUGUGCCAUUUUGGAGAAAUGGUAAACAACAAUAAUGAUGCUAUCAUGAAACCUUUGAGUCUGUGGUUUCCUAUAAGACCCUAUAAAAUUCUCUCUUAGUCUGAGCCUUAGAGCAUGUUCUGUGAAGUGUUAAUCCAUCCCUAAAAGGUUAAGAAGUGUCUUCCCAAGUGAGAAGUAUUUUGAACCGUGUAGAAUUUCCCUAAUAUUGACUUUUUUUCAUGUAGGGAAUUGAAAAAACUUUCCGUCGAUACCAAAUUUGCUCAAAUCCAACACUCGGGCGAAGAGUCAGAACCAUUUUAGUGAGACAGUGUACCACCUGGUACUUUAGUGCGUUGCGGAGCCAGCCAAAAUGGCAAUCAUCAAAAUUCAGUAAGCCUCUGUGAUUAUGGCGCGUCGUACCAAGGCUUAAUUUCAGAGUUGUCAAUUUCCAGUGCACCAACGUAAUUACACCAUGUCACCGUUCUUUUCUAGUUCACAACCAAGGUGGCAAUGCAAUUUCCACCGUGUUGCGCCACCAACCAGUUUUCCAAUUGUCCAGUUUCCAGUGAGCUGAUGUGAUCCACCGUGUCGCGCCAGCAUGUGAAAUCAGAAUUUUCAGAUUCUGUUUUUAAAUUUCACUGACCUAUUGGUAAUUUCUUAAAGCCCCAAACCAGUCUAUUAAGGGAUCUAUACCCUAAAUAAUGAAAAUACUUCUUUAUUCAUCAAUUUUUUUCCCCAAAAUCAAAAUGUUUUCUCUCUCAAGAAAUCAAGAACAAGACCUAUGGUUUCUAAUCCAAGAUCCAAGUCAUCAAGAUUCCUCUGUAAAUCUUUCGAGAAUAAUAUGACAAGGUAUGUAGAUGUUGAUUCUGGGGUCCCUUUCAUCCAAGAAGCUCAAGAACCCUUUUGUAAAUUUUAAAGAUUUUAUUUUUAUGAGUUUUCAUGAUUCAUGUGAAUUGAAAUUGGAAUUCAUGAUAUUCUUGAGUUUCUAAUUCAUGUUUUGUUUAUGAGGUUUCAAGCUUUGACCCUAGUAUGUGAUAUUCAUGUGAUGUUCAUGAUAAACCCUCUUCAAGAUGCUUGUUAAGUGAGGUGUUCAUGUCAAUUAAGUGUAGAAAUUGUUGAAUAAGCAAAUCAUGCUCCCCAUAUGUUUGAUAAAAUGCUUAUGUGAGGGAAUUAAAGCUAUUAUAGCAUGUUGACUAGAAAUCACCAAUUGUGUGGAAGCCUAUGCAUGCCAAGUGUUUGUUGAAAAGCCUUAGAGAAUGAAUUAUGACAUGUUAGCAUGAAAUACCCUAAUUAUGUGUUAUUUAAUGCAUGUUAAGUGUUUGAUGCAAGACUUUGUUGAAUGGAGUAUGAGCCAAUAACAUGUCUCCCUAUACUAUCACAUGUUUAUGAUUUCUAAAUGCUUCAAUAGAUGCUUUAGUAAUUGUGAAGGUGAAUGAAUGUACAUGGUAUUGAUAAUUCAAGAAUGGUUGUGCUUUAAUUUUGUGUUAUCGAGUCCUGGGGGUAUUGAUACCUGAUAAUUUAGCUUUAGUCUAGAGCCCAUGUCAGUUUUCACAAUAAUCUCAGUCAAGCCAUGAUUCUCAGAACUCGAUAAUCUCAGUCAAGCCAUGAUUCUCAGAACUUAGUCAAUUAUAGAACUCUGUACUCUCAGACAAAUAUAGAACUUAAGAAAUCAUAGUAAUCUCUGUAAUCUCAGCAUCGCUAGUUAUCUAGCCUCAGUUUUGUACUCAGCUUAGAUCUAGUAGUAUUCAAGUGUUCGGUUCAGACCUCAGUAGUAAUCGAGUAAUGUAUUCAAAGCUUCGUAUCAUUCAGUCAAAUAACGAGAUUUAGUAGUAUUCCGUUAGAUAUGGAACCAAGUGAAUUCAGCUUAAAUCAGUCAGAUCAGUCGAGAAAUAUGGUCAGUAUCAGAUUCAACUCAGUUUAAGUUCAGUUAAGAAUUAGUUUAGAGUCUUUCAGUUAGGGGUAGAGCUAGAACUGAGCGAGUGCAGGGAUGGUGGAUCCCCGUUAGAGAGGCAGAUUUGUUAGGAAUGAUCCCUAAACUCCAAAACUGCAUAGCCAGCGUAGGAUGUAGGAGUCACCCGUUAGAAAAGGCUUGUUACCCACUAGAUAGGCUUGACUAUUAUACUGCCUUAGGCUUGACUUCCUGCGUGGGCUACCCAUUAGAGAGGCUUGACCACAGAGGUCUUUAACUGUGGUAUGGUAUUGACACCCUUUUAGCUGGGAUUACAGGUUGGACCCCACUAUUUCAGAUUUAGGGUAUGUUAGUUAAGUGAGAACUCUCACAGUUGUAGUUUUAAUAUCAAUCAUCAGAGUAGAACUCAAAAAUCAGGACUGUCAGAUACAGUCAUCUAUCUCAGUAAGGAACUCAGAUAGUUCUAUUGACUCAUGGACCACCUGCUAGAUAGGCAUGGUCCCACAUAAAGUUAUUGAGUAAUCUCAUUAUCAAAUCCAGAGAUCACCCGUUAGAUAGGCUUGAUCUUAGUCUCAGAUUCAGUUAAGUAAUCUCAUUAUCAAAUCCAGAGAUCACCCGCUAGAUAGGCUUAAUCUCAGUCUCAGAUUUAGUUGAGUAAUCUUAUUAUCAGAUCCAGAGAUCACAAGCUAGAUAGGCUUGAUCUCUGUCUCAAAUUUAGUUGAUUAGUCUCAUUAUCAGAUCCACAGAUCACCCACUAGAUAGGCUUGAUCUUCAUCUCAGAUUCAGUUGAGUAAUAUCAUUAUCAGAUCUAGGGAUCACCUGUCAGAUAGGCUUUAUCUCAUUCUCAUAUUUAGUGAUUAUUCUCAUUAUCAGAUUCAGAGAUCUUCUGCUAGAUAGGUUUGAUAUCAGAUAUAAUCUUUUCUUAUCAUUGAUAGUAAAUUCCAAAAUCAUCCGUUAGAGAAAUUUGAUCUCCGAUGUAGUCAGUCGAGAGUAGAAAGCUUAGAAUUCAGUCAUUGAUAUGAGUAGAUUUAGUUAAUCAGUUUUUGUAUCAUUAGUUUUUGAGAUCACUCACUAGAUAAGACUGAUCUCAACUCUAGUACUCAGUUAUCAGUAUCAGAUGAUUCAGUGUUCAGUAUCUCAGGCAUUAGUAGUGAGUUUAGAAGGUAGUAAAGUAGUAUCCGAGUAUCAGUAUUUUGAGUCACGAUGAUUUCAAUUAUGGUUUGUGCAUUCAUGCAUGUGUUCUUAUUUAGUACUCUUAUGAUUAUUCAGUUAAGUAAUUGUUCAUGCAUAAGCCCUUGCAUUUAUCCAUGCCUCAUCUUCAUACUCGGUAUAUUCCUGUUCUAACACAAUUGCGCUAUGGUGUUUUAUUUGACACCAUAGGUUCAGAGGCAUAGAUCUAGAAUACCCUUAGCAGCUCAGUCCCAGUCAAAAGUAGUAGACAUAGCAAAGAGUCCUCUUCAGUCGAGGAUGAUCCUUAUUUUUAUUAUUAUCAUAUCAAACUUAGUUUAUUUUCAGUAAACGGAGUUAGUUGGGGACAUGUCCUAUCAACUCCACAGUUCAGACAGUUUAGAGGCUUUUCUAACAAAUGUAUCAGUAUUCAAUUUUCAAUUUUGAGUAUUUUUAGAUGUUUUGAACCUUAUGGCCAGUUUCCACAUUUAUUAUCUAUAUUAUGCAGUAUUCAGGUAUAGAUAUCAGUAGAGGGUUAGCUUUUGGUCCUUCGAGAUCAUGAGCAUCGUGUGACGUUCCGGUUCCAAAAAAUUGGGUCGUUACAUAGCCCCAAUACAAAAUCCAUAGAAAUAUCAAACCAUAGACGCAAUAGAGUGGGAAUUGGGGUGUACAACCCAUGAGGAAGGAGCCUAGACUUAGCACUCCUACAAUCUAUGCAAUGGCCGUAAACUUUCACAACAUCUUUGCGCAUCCUUGGCCAAUAGAAUUGUUUCUCCAAAAUUCCAAGGGUCUUAUCAAUUCCAAAGUGAUCCAUGAGACCGCCGUUAUGUGCCUCCCUCACAAACACCUCUCUCUAAGAGCUAAAAGGUACACACAACCAUCUUCCUCAAAACAAGUACCCAUAAAAUACAUCAUAGGGGCUGGAAUCUGAAUGCCUCCUUUCCCUCCCCACGACUUCACUUUCCCUAAAGAUAGGAGAAAAGUAAGGGUCCUCAGGAUAUAAAGACUUGAGGUUCUUGAUCCCCAUUAUCUUGGACAAUAAGUGGACACAAGAACAUGCUUUCUAGAUAAUGCAUCAACUAACAUAUUAUCCUUACCCCUUUUGUAUUGAAUCACAUAUGGAAAGGUUCCAAAAAAUUCAAUCCAUUUGGCAUGUCGUUUGUUAAGUUUGUCUUGUGCCCGAAGGUUCUUCAAAGAUUUAUGAUCCAUUCGGAUUAUGAAUUCCUUGGGCCAAAGAUAUUAUUGCCAAUUGCCUAACGCUCUAACCAAGGCAUACAACUCUAAAUCAUACUAGAGUAGUUUAGAGUUGCUCCUUUGAGAUUUUCGCUAAAGUAAGCUAUAGGCUUCAAUUCUUGCAUCAAAACCGUGCCUAUGCCCACUUUACUAACAUCACAUUCUAUUUCAAACAUCUUGUCAAAGUUAGGCAAUUACAAUAGUGGUUCAAGGUCUUAAAGGCCUUAGAUUGCUCUUCACCCCACUUAAAAGGUUGGCCCUUUCGGAUAAUUUUGGUAAAGGGGGAUGCAAUGGUACUAAAUCCUUUGAUGAAUCUCCAAUAAAAACUUGCCAACCCGUGGAGGCUAUGAACUUCACCCAUGGUUUUAGGGGUUGGCCAAUCUUUAAUGACAGUUAUCUUGGAUUCGUCUACCUCUACUCCCCUUGAGCUUACAAUAUAUCCUUAAAACACAACUUUAUCAACACCAAAGGAGAAUUUUUCAAUAUUAGCAUAUAAAUUUUCUUUCCUAAGAACACAAACGCACUUCUUAGAUUCAAUAAAUUUUCAUUAAGGGACUUAUUAUAAACUAGAACAUCAUCAAAGUACACAACCACAAACUUUCCAAUAAAAAUAUUCAUCACAUUAUUCAUUAGCCACAUAAAGGUAGGAGCGUUGGUAAGACCAAAUGGCAUGACCAUCCACUCAUAUAAACCAAACUUGGUCUUGAAUGCGGCCUUUCAUUCAUCACCUGGUUUCAUACGAAUUUGGUGAUAUCCGCACCAAAGAUUGACCUUAUAAAGCACACAACACCCAUUUAGUUCAUCAAGCAUAUUAGCUAACCUAGGGAUAGGAUGGCGAUACUUUACCAUAAUUUUAUUUAUGGCUCAGUAGUCCAUGCACAUUCGCCACAUCCCAUCCUUCUUCGGCAAAAGCAACACCAGAACCGCAUACGGACUCAUGCUUUCCUUGAUGUAUCCUUUGUUAAGGAGGUCCUCAACUUGCCAUUGGAGUUCUUUUAUAUUCGUGAGAUUGCUCCUAUAAGCCGGCUUUUUCAGCAAUUGCAACUCGGAACAAAAUCGAUUUGGUGCUCAAUUCCUCGAAGUGGAGGAGGCCCUUAUGAUAAUUUGCUAGGAAAUACAUCAUCAAAUUCCUACAAAACAUUAGAAAUAGAAUACGGGAAAGGGGAAGUAGAUGGUUAGAAUUCAAAACAUGAGCCAAAAGUAGCAUGGGAGUAGCAUAAUCAUAAUCUUUGAAGAGGUCACCCUUUCAAGCCAACAUUACUAUUGAAUCCUCACCCCUCAAAUCCAAAACUCCCUCUUGUCCCUCACCCUUCCCACUUUUGGGUUCAUCCCCUCUACCCACAUGUUCCUUCUCUUUCUUUCCUUUUCUUUGUAAACUCUUCAUUUGUCGAUGUGCCUCACGCACUUGUGAUGGUGAUAGUGGUUGGAGGUUGUACUUUCGACCCUUGAACUCAAAGGAGGAGUAGUUGGUUCGGCCCUCAUGCUUGGUCGACCUAUCAUAUUUCCAUGGCCGACCCAACAAAAGAUUACAAACUUGCAUAGUAAUGAUGUCGCAAAGUACCUCGUCCUCAUAAUUUCCCACUUUUAACCAAAUCACCACUUGACAAGUUACCUUAAAAUCUCCACAAUUGUUCAACCAUUGGAGUCUAUACAAAUUCACAUGUGGAGUAGUUGGCAACUUCAAGUGAUUUACCAUCGAGGCACAAGCUACAUUAGCACAACUCCCACUAUCAAUUAUUAAGGAGCACACUCUCCCUUUAAUGAGACACUUAGUAUGAAAGAGGUUUUCCCGUGCUAGGAUCAUCCAACACUUUGCUGAUCAUAACUCUCUGUACCACAUAAUUAGGUACUUCAAGUUCACCUUCUUGUUUCCAAACCUCCUCUUCAUCAUCAUCACUAGGCCUCUCGGCCUCUCUUCCCUCUCCAUCUUGAGAGGCUUCUUUAUUUUCAACCAUUUCAAACCCCAAUUCUUCUCCCAAGAAAUAUAAAUUCCAUUCUAUCAAUAUCAUAUUUCUAUAAUUAGGACACUCACUAGCCUUGUGUCUCCAUCCAUGGUAUUUGAAGCAUUGGAAUUCUUUAACCUUGAAAGAGACAUUUGGCUUGCCCUCAAACCACAGAGGGGGCGGUUGAGCGAUCAUGCUCACUGCUGGAGGGACCUUGGUUGGUUGUUGUUUGGAAUUGUUCCACCCCUAAGUCUAUGGAACCACUUCUUUCCCCUUGGUCCAAUUAGUAUGUUUUGGUUUUAUAUGCUGACCUUUCCUUAUUAUCUUGUUCAAUCUCCAAAGCUACUUGAAAGAUUCCUUCAGUAGUUUCAAACUUAUAAAGUGUCAUAUGCGUAGAUAUUUACUUGUUUAGUCCGACCUUGAACCGGAUGAUAUCGUGGCUCACUUGUUCUCCCCUAUGAUCAAGUUUCAAGAUAAGUUGUUGAAACUCAUCAUAGUAGGCUGCCACACUUUUGUUUCCUUGCUUCAAGUUGUAUAAUUUUUCAAGGAGUUCAUGUUGAUCUCUUUCGGGAAGGUACUUUUGUCUCAUAAGAUACCUUAACCUAAACCAAGGAGGGGGUUUCCCCUCAAUGAAUACGUUGCCUAAAUGUUUGACAUAUUUUGACCAAGUGGUAGCAUAUCCCUCAAAAUGAGCAAUGGAGUAGUAACUCUUUUUAUCCUCCGUGAUAUUGUUCACUUGAAAGACUCUCUCUCAUGUGGAUUCCUAUGCAAGAAACUCUUCGGGAUCACUUUUUCCCUUAAAGAUCGGAAGUCCCAUUUUGAUAGUGUUAAGACCAAUAUUCCUUUCUCGAACACCUUGGCCGCCCCUACCUUCAAUCCCUUAGUAUUCCCUUGGUUCUACCCUUCUACCUCUCAUCCCAUCUUCUAUCAAAUAAGGAUCAUCAUACAUUCCAUACCCCUCCCCACUUCAGUUCUUCCUCACAUAUCCCUCUUCUUGCAUUGGCGGGUUUUGGACAUUUGGAAUUUAGUAUUGUGGAUUGGCAUUUAGUGGUGAAGGUCUUUGGAUUGGAGGAUUUUGGUUUAGAGGAUGAGGAUUUAAGGGUGGCAUUUGGGUUCUAAGUCCUUCACGUGGGACUUGGUGAUAUGGGGAAUGGCUAGGUCCAUCAAGGCCUCGACCUUCUGAGUAAUAGUUGGCUUGAGGUUUGGCAUUUGGUGGAUACAUUCUUUGGUUCAUGUCUUCGGGGGUAAUGGUUGGGGAUGUGUUUUGAGGAGAUGAGGGUCGAGAAUUCCGUUGGCUUUCUACCUCUCUACACGCCCACUAAUAGAGGCCAUUUCCACUCCCAUUUUCUCAACCGUAGUAUUCACUCUAGCCACGUCCCAAGAAAAGGACUCAAGACUAGAUACAAGAGCAUUCAUAACAUUAUGGUCCAUGGUUUGUGUAUUGGAAGUUUUGAGUUCUAUGUGUAGUGGUUCCAUUUGAAAAUUUACCUACAAAACGAGCAAACGUUAGUUCAAAAUACUUUCACUCACUCUUUUCACUCGGCUCACUCACUUGGCCCUUCAAGUGUUAUAAGCCGGGUAUCAACUUGUGAGUAACUGGGAAAGAAUCUACUCUUGAUUUAGAAUGGAUUUUGGUUUGGAAGACUCAAGGAAGUUUUGUAUGCACUUGAACCAAGAAUAACUACGAAUUAUAAACGAGCAAAGCACCACAAGGAACGUUAACUCGAAAGACGUACUCAAAAACUAGUUCACAACUUAGUAUAUUGUUACUUAGUUUCCAACUAGUAUAGGAGUCAAUAGAAAGAAACUAGUAGAGACAAGGAAAGAAACUAUGAAAGUCCAAUGACUUGAGCCUAGUUGUUAGUGUGGCCCACAAAUUUGGCCGUUGGUGAUGUGUUUUUGUUUGAAGUUUGAUAUUUUCUAACUUGAGUUGUUCAAUCUUGUUUGUUUGGUGAGGAUUUUGGGUUUUGGAAUGAAAAGGCAGGACUUGGGACUCUCUUUCCAAAGGUCAAAGGUGUCAAUCAACUUUUUACCAACUUUCAUCAAAAUGACAAAACACCUUUUUGCUUUGGCUUUGUCCCUUACCUCUUUUGGUUCUUUUUGAAAAAGGUUUGACAACCUUUUGGUAAGUAAGAUUUUGGGAGGUCUUUUGUUUAUUUGCCUCUUUGGUGUUGUCUUGAAACUAAUUCCAAGACAAACACAAGACUUUACCUCUCUCUUCUCCUUUUCAAAUCAAACAAGGCCUUUUGUUGAUUAUUACUCAAGAACAAUAUGAACAACAACAAUUUCCAAGCCGUCCAGCCCUUCAACAACACUUAACAAGAGCUCAAAUCUUGGAACUUAUACUCAAGUGUUCUGGGGAAACAACAAGAUAACACACAAAACCACUAAGACAAGCAAAAACACCUAAAUCUAGACAACUUCUCGGCAAACACAAGUCACCCGACAACACUUUUUUCUUUUCAACUAGAAGAGACCAAGAUUGGUGGUGUAAGAACACGACCAGCCUUGGAUAUGAGACCAAAUGAUACCAAAUGGUAAUUACAACACCAAAACAGUCCGCAAACAACCUACAACAACAUGCUUAAAAACCGCAACAACAAGACAACACUAGAAUCAAACACAAAUGGAAAAUGAUAAAAGAUAGGUAACAUGACACAAGGAGAAUACUAAAUGUAAAAAUUAAAGAGUGUAUCAAACUCUAAAAUCUCAACAAACCACAUUAACAAGCACCAAAUUCUUACGCGAACACAAGAAGAACUCGGUUCACUCAAGCACUCACAUUUCUAGCUGUUUCACAACACAAGUGGAACCUUUCACUUGUGAUGUUCAAAUGUUUGGUGGUCUACUCUCUUCUUGAGAGGAAAAUAAUGUUCAAUAUUACAAGUGAUUUCAAGAAUAAACUAACUAAGGAACAAGACUAAAGGAUACACUUUAAAUAGUCUAUUACAAAAGGUUGGCAAAAGGACCCCUUUAUCCUUAAUGAAGGGGUGGCGAGUGUGGAGUGUUAUGGGGCAGCCUUGGGUGUAUUUUGAGCACCUAAGGCCAUCCCUCACAUGUCAAGACGUACACUCCCUUGGGACAGUUCGCAACAAACUCAACCGCAUCCAUUUUCAUAAACGCACCUUGAAGUCGGUGUAGUUCCCGAGCUUGGCUUCUAGUAAAUGGUCUCGAGCCCGUGACACCCGUAUCACACUACUGAUUAUUUUUUUUGGAUAUUUGAUUGUUUAACAAAAUGAGUUUCUCUGACAAAAGUUAAGUUUCUUUACAUGAUGCAAGUAGAUUUUACUUAGUUUCAUUGAUUCGUAAACUUAUGUGCAACUAAAAAUGUAUAUUUUGAGAUUUGCUUAGAUUUAUUGUGGUUUAAUUAAUCUUUGUGGUAACUUAUGUGACCGGAGAAAUGUAUAUAUAAUAAAAUAUGAGUUGCCACAUUUCAGGAUUGCGAAAUGCAAGGAGAUAAACUAUCUAGAUGGGAAAGAAAGUAAUAGUUUCAUCAUUAUAUAAAUACUGUUGUACAUGUUAUUGUAUCAAAGUAUAAAGACAAUUUAAAUUGAACUUAUAGAAAUUUGAACAUACUCUCUUUGUUUAUUUCCUGCUACAAAACAAUACCGAAAGUGAAGAAAAAUUGUCAAAGAGAAAUUGUCUGGAUGUGAGAUCUUUGAUUUACUCUCUGAAUUUUGUAUGAAUAUAAGCUCUCUGAUUUACUCUUCCACUUUUUAUCUUUUCUUUUAUAACCUUUUUAGUUCCAAAACUAAAUAAUUUUAGUUGUUCCAGGUGAAAAAAUAUAAUGAGAUUCCUGGUCUUGAAAUGGGAAUAUGUUAGUCUUUGUAAAUUUUCCAUAAUGUAUAUUAACCAUUACAAAAUUUAAGAAAGGAACAAUAGAUAAAUGUGCCCUUUAACUUGACUUCAACUUUCAUCUAUGCCCUCCAACUUUGGGUGAACAAUUAGGCACUUUAACUUGUAUAAAGUUGAUAAAGUUGACACAUGAGUCCUAUGUGUGCUCCUACAUGGCCAAUUCAUGUCCUACAUGGAGACCAAUGUGUAUUAUGUCACAUAAGACGUGUGUGUCUACUUGUUCAGCUUUAUACAAGUUUGAAUGUCUCUUUGUGCACAUUCAAAAUUGAAGGUCAUACAUAUAAGUUGAGGUCAAGUUAAAGGGCAAAUUUAUGUAUUAUGCCUAUAAGAAAUUAUUUCUUCUGUUUUUACAGUAAAAUGUUGGUUUUCAACUGAUUGUGUUCAUACAUCACAGGUUUGUUCACAGUAUUGCAGCCUAGAAUAAAAUAAAUACUGCCCUCUUUAAUGCAGCAAGAUUAAUCAUUGGUCCUGCAUGUUGGGUUCAAUUGGUGUGAAUGGAAAGUGGAGGGACACAACCCUUUGAGGAAAAGACACAUUGUUUUGGAACAUGAGUGAUUGUUCGGAUAGCUGUGUCUGUUCAGAAAAAAGACACAAUGUUUUGAAUGAACAAACAUGACUCUUCCAAUAGAUACACUUUUUGGGAUGAACCGUUGCCACCUUUUGGAAGGGACACUUUAUGGUUGUAUAAACCUGCAUUUUUUUCACAGGUUUAGUAUGAAAAAUUUCUGCAUAAGAAAAAUAUUCUCUUGCUUCUAAAAACUCUAUGUGAUCAUCUCCCAUUGAGUGAUUUUGAAGAAAACCAGAAAGUUUGAGUACCACUACAUUCUGGUGGUGAAGCAUUUUAUUCUUGGAGGAAAAUUCCAAAACCUCAGGUACUUGAGGGGAAUUAUUUCCUUAAAAACACUCCAUGAAUUUAGAGGACUUGACUUUUUUUUUCUGCUUCAUCUAUUUUUCUUUAAGAAACUAAAAACAUACUUCUUUUGAAAGAUCAUUUUGAUCUUGUGUUGAAGGUUUUGAACAACAUCAUAAGUGUUCUUGAUUUAUUCUUGAACUUGUGUUGAAGUAGUGCUGCAAAAAUACAGAUUUUGUGUACCCAAGAAACAAGAAUCUUAAGGAAAUAAAUUUACUAAUCUAUAUUGUUUCUGUUGGUGAAUUACAAUAAACUUACAACUGAAAAAUUACAAGUGAAGAAAAUAAAAUGACAAUCUUCUUCUUCCUCGACUAAGGUACAGAUAUCUCACUCUCUUUAAGGAGAUUCAAGCCCACUGCAGCAAAUACUUCACCGGUCCAUUAGUAAUCUUCUUGAAUUGUCCCCUCCAGGUUACAACAGUCUUUCUCACAAAUAAUGACUCAACAACUCUGUACAAGAGUUUAGUUCAAAGCUCUAUAAAUAGAACACCUCCCUUUAACUAAUGAACUAUCUAUUUUUCUAUCUUUUUUGUGAACUCUAUAUUAUCUUGUGGGUCCCAAACCAUAAAAGACCACCUCUAUUUAUAGGUGAUAAAUCUUCCAUGCAAUGAAUAAGAAGAUAAAUGUGGUAGAUGAAUGGCAUAGAAGUUACAAGAGUUACAUAGGUUACAAAAGUUUUAUAGGUUACAAGACAUAAAGAGUAGGAUAAUGGAGGAAUAAAGAAUGGAAGUUACAUGUAACUUAUAUUCACAUUCUACCAUUACUUAUCAAGUGUUUAAAGGUUCAUAAAACACAAAGGAAUGGGAGUUAAAAUGUAACACCCCACAUUUUGGGCUAGAAUGAAAAUCAUCAUUUCUAUGCGUAAACAAUACAAAAUCAAUAAAUCCUAUACAAAUAUGGAAUGUUAAUCAAUUUAGUAGUGUGAGGAAUUGAAUGAGCUUUCCAUCGAUAUAAGAUUCACCCAAAUCCGAUACCAGACAAGAAGUUAUGGCUAAUUUAAGUCCUAGUUGUAAAACACUAUCAUUUUGGUACUUGGCGCAUCGCGGAGGGAGUCUAUUUAACAAUUGUUAAAUUCUAGUAGCAUAGCGCGAUUGUGCCACAUCACGCUGAAGUUUUAGGUCCCAACCAGUUGGACAAUGCGAUGGCUCCGCGUCGCGGUGAUCUUAAGAAUCCCCUUCGUCAAUUUCCAAAGGAACUUUAUGUAUUAAUUUGAUGUUCAUGAUUAAGCCCUAAGUUAUGCGUACUAGAUGUUUGAUAAAAUGCCUAAGAGAGUAAUAUUUAUGCUUAUUGACUCAAUACGGCCUAAAUGAUAAAUCCAUGAAACUCCUAAGUGAUUGUAUUAUGAAUUAUUGAUUAUGAUCAUGUGUUUAAGAAGUGUCAUGUCUUGUUAGUUUCAUGCUGUUGAGUCCUAGGGGUACUUGUACCCGACAAUUUAGCUGUGUGCCUAGAGCCAGUGUCAGUUUCAUAAUAAUCUCAGUCCAGCCAUGAUCAGUAGAAUUCAGUCAGUUACAUAACUCAGGAAAACUCAAUAAAUUUAGUAUCAGUCCAGUAAUCUCAAAAAUCUCAGUAAUCACAAUCAGUUAUCAUAUCUCAGUAAUAUUCCAUCAGUCAAUGGACUUCAGUGAGAUCAGUAUAGUUCAGUACAGGAUAUUCAGUUCAGUGUCUAUUCAGAUGGGAGUAGAAUUCAACACCGAGUGAGCCUAAGGAUAGGAACUCACCUGUUAGUAGAGGGUGUGAUUCUUAGAAGCAAUCCUUGUGCUCUAAAACUAUGUAGCCAGCGUAGGUUGAGAUAUCAAACCUGCUAGAUAAGGGUAGAUGAGGUGGCUUAACCAGUUAGAUGAGGUCCCAUCGUUCUCAUUAGAGUAACAGUCAGAUGAGGGUCACUCAUAGCUUGUCCUUACCAGUGGCGCGGUAUUGACACCCUUCCAAUUGGGGUUACCGAUUGGACCCAACUCAGCUAUAAUAGCUUAUUAGGGGGAAUGUUAGUUAAAGGACUACUUCCUACAGUCUCAGUCUCAGGUCUCAUUAAGAGAACUCAGAUAGGUCUACAGAAUUUAGGACUGUCAGAUAUAGUAACCCAGUAUAGUACAAAACUUAGCUAGUUCCAUCAGAAUCUAGGCUAUCAGAUAUAGUCACUUAGUUCAGUUACAUCAGUUAUCAGUAACUCAUGAUAUCAGUAUUCAAACUUAGUAGUCAGUAUUGUCACAAAUUCAGUUACAGUUACUUAUUCAUGCAUGUAUUCUCACGUUCACGUUAUACAAUCAGUUAGUAUUGUUCAUGCAUAUGAACCUUUUGUAUUCAGCCUACCUCACUAGAAUACCAGUACAUUCAAUCGUACUCAUACAUUUUUGGUAUGGUGUUUUAUACCAUAGGUUCAAAAGUACAAGCUCCAGAACAUCAAUAGCAUUCCAAUUUCAGCAGUCAGAGUCAGCUGUGAGUCCUCAUCAUUCGAGGAUGUUAUGAUUUGAUUACUUCACUUCUAUAGUACUUAGUUUAUUUCAGUAGUUGGAGUUAGUUGGGGACAUGUCCCAUCAACUCCUUAUUCAGACAGUACAGUUUUAGAGGCUUUCAGACUAUAGUAUGUUCAGACAGUUAUUUCAGUUUUUUCGUAUUGAUAUACCAUAUUUUCAAAUGUUGUGUUUUAUCAGAUAUUUGAACCUUAUGGCCUUUUAGCCUUUUAUUCCACAUUUAUACAAUAUAUUAUGCAGUGUUCAGGUACAGAUAUCAGUCAUGGGUUAGCUUGUGGUCCUUCGGGGUCACGAGCAUCAUGUAGUUUUCCGGGUACCAGAUUCGGGGCGUUACAACAUGCUAUAUGGAAUCUGCCCUUGACUCGGUAGCCAAUCCCCUAACCCAUGUUUGCUGCAAAGGUUGGAGUUUCUUAGCCUAAUACGCCAUAGGGCACUAGGCCAGCGUGUAAUCCCUCUUAGGGACAUAAGAACCUAUAUCGGUAAAACACAAUUUGGAGCAAUGAGUUUUCUGAACUUGUACCUUCUUCGAGUAACCACCUAACAUCUCUUAAGCCCAUUUUUAAUAUUUUAUGAACAUGCAUAUUAAAGAACUCAAAUUCUAAAAAUCUGAAUAAAAUUUGACUUCUAUUCUAUUUUGAGUCAGUUAUGGCAUUAUCUUUUUUGGCAUCGUCACACCAUGACUUGCAAGUCAUAUGUCUAAGCCAUAUCAUAAUAGUAUUCCAGUUCUUUCAUCCUAAACAAUGUUCAGACCACCAAAAAAUUCAAACAAUACAAGAGGAUUCGUAUUUCAAAACAUAUUUCAAACUAUGCAAAAACUCUCUAUCCUUUCAAUAUUUUAACCAAUGGUAGUAAAUUUCUCAAAUCAAUCAUGUAAUCCCUUCAAUUAUCGCAUUUAGUAUUUAAAACAAGAAAUUAUCACUCUCUUCAAUUCAUAAUUGACAUGAAAUUCAUGUAAGAUAGUAAACCAUAGGUUCAUGCUUUAAGACAUGCAAUUGAAUGAUCGUUGACUUGUAAAUCAAGAAAUAACACAAAGAGAGAGGGAAAUUCUUUCUUCAUGCACUCACUUCAUAUUUUAAAGCUAAAAAUAUGUAUAAACAUAUAUAUGAGUAAAAUUCAACUUUGUAAUAGGGCCUCAAGACCAAAACACAUAUCAUUGAAAGGAUUCACAAUGCAUACUUUUUAAUGAAAUUCAAGCCCUUCAUAAAAACAUGAUUUAUCAACAUUCAAAAUAUUAAUAUAAACUAUUUAUCCAUGACCAUGUAGUUUAGGAAAAACCCUGCGUACCUUAUGUUGUUUAGUUUAAAGAUUAGAAUUCUAAUUUGACCCUUUUCUUGAAAUCUUGAACUUAGAGGAAACCCUAAUUUCUCCUUGUUCUUGAGAGUGGAGAAGAUUAUGAGUGAUGAGAUACUAAUAUUUCAUCAAUUAAUAGGAUUUAAUGUGUGAUUUAAGCCGUGGGGGUGGUUUUUUGUCACGACCCGAACUAGGGCCUGGCCAUGACGGACAUCACAAACCAUGAAGGCCUAGAACGCCCUUCUCUAUCUGGUAGUCAUGCACAACACUCAUAUAAUAAAGAAGAUGCGGAAAGAUAGUCAGCUACGGAAACAUGGUCAAAUUCUAAUAUCAACAUAUGUAUGGAAACCUGUAGUACAACUACAGCUUAAUAACAUUUGACUCAGUCUGCAAAAUCUCUCCUACAUGAAAAUCUGAUAACUGUUUGAAAACUGGGACAAGGCCCCCAGUAGACCAAAACAAUAAUAAGGGUCAUAAUCUGAAAGACGGGCCUUUUGGAAUAGAGAAUGCUCACCAACUGAACACUGGAAACUCUGUCUGACAAAUCUACUGCCUUUCUGGACCCCAAAACUGAGCCUCAAAACCUAGAGGGAGGAGCGGGGAUCAAUACAGAUGUACUGGUACUCAAAGUAUUCCAAAAUAAAAGUUUUAUUUAGAUGAAAUAGUUGGAGAGAAAAUCGUCAGAUACUAUACAUGAAAUAGUUCAAAAACACAUGGGCACUUUCUGAAAAUCACAAAUCAUUCUUAUCAAUGCAAUGUCUGAUCUUUGUAUAACUUUUGAGUUAGGUGGCACUCCCCUACAAUUAUGAUAUUCCAUUGGCUUUAUGGAAUCCGCCAUUGACUCAGUGGGGAAGCCCCCAACCCGAGUGUGCCGCAAGGGUUGGAGUUUCUGAUUCUGAUAUGCCACACGACACUAGGCCAGCGUAAUAUAAUAUACCCGGAUCCGCAAAUAAUAGUUUUGGGCAACGAGUUGUCUGACUCAUGCCUUCUUUGGUGAACCACCUAAGCUCUCUUUAUGCCCAAUUUUAUCCUGUUCUAAAUCAUGCAUUUUUUAAGUUUCAACAUCUAAAAAGUCUGAUUUCAAACAUGCUUUCUAUUCUGUUCUGAAUUAUCAUGGCAUAAUCUAAAUUGGUGUCGUCGCACCAAGAAUUACAAGUACUAUUUCUGAGCCAUAAUGCAUCAUGCAUAAUUCUUUCAUUAAAACAUAGUUCAGACCAGCCAAACAUGCAAAUAGUAUAAUAAAUUUCAUGUUCCGAAAGCAUAAGUCAAAACUAUGCAAGAACUCUUCAAACAUAAGGUGGUCAUAUGCUUUUGGUAAAAUCCAUGCACUCUUUCAUUAUAUGUAUUUUCAACAUUUUUCAAUACAAAGAACCCUCUCUUUGGAAUUCAAGAUUCAUAACCAAAUCAUUCUUAAGUCAAGACACUUCGUCACAUGCUUUUAAGAUGCAUUUCAAAAACAAUCCAUAUCAUGUGAAACAUGGGAAAAAUCACAUCAAGAGAGGGAUUUCAAGUGAGUCAUGCUCUCAAUUCGAAUAUCAACUUAAAUCACAUACAUACAUAUAUAUAUACAAUUUCAAAUCAAUGUGGGGAAGGUCAAAGACCAAAACAAUACUGUCAAGAUUUCUAAAACAGGAAUAUAUUCAUAAAUCUGAAAACCCCUUUCUUAAAAUCAUGAUUUUGAUUUUAGGAAAACCCCGCAUACCUCGAAAUAGGGAAACAAUGCGUGUUUCUUGAAGCUUAUGAUAUGGGGAUUUCGAAUCUUCAAUCGAUUUUGAAAACCCACGGUUGAAUCUUGAGUUUCUUGAAGUUCUUGUUUGAAACUCUAGAGAGGAUUCUUGAUGAUUUUGAUGAAAAUAGGGUUAAGUUACUCAAACAUACCCUAAAUUCUUUGUUUUGACGGUUUUAAAUGCCAGGGAAAAGUCAAAAUUACCCUUAAUGACUCCUAAAAGGAACUGGAAAUUUGAACUUAAAAACCCAAUUUUGGGAUCCACCACGACGCGCCACAAUCGUGGUGGUCUACUGUAAUUCAACGAGUGUGAAAUUGGGUGCCUCCGCAAUGCGUCACCAUCAAGGAACCCCACUGGAAUUUGAUGAUUGUCAAUUUGACCCUCUCCGCGAUGCGCUAGACACCAAAAUGAUGAUGUUUACGACUGGAACCUUAAAUUAUUCAUAACUUCUUCACCGAGGGUCCGUUUUGGAUGAAUCUUAUAUUGUUGGAAAGAUAAUUUAGUCAUCUACAUAAUGAAAGGUUGAAAGCUUGGAAAUUACACAUGAAAAUUAAUUUAGAUCAUUCUAGGAGCUAAUGCUCAAACUUUCCAUGGGCGGAAUUUAGCUAAUAAGACGUCGGAGUGUUACAAUAUCCCCCCUUGGGAUCAUUCGUCCCCGAAUAAUGAUGUGGAACACAGACAAGUACAAUUUAAAGCAUACUAAAGAAUAGAAAGAUUUAGGUAAGGGUUGUACCUUCAACUCCGCCAUCUAUUGGGUCAAAAAAGUGUGGGUAUCUUGCUCUCAUGUCGUCUUCUGAUUCCCAGGUGGCUUCUUUAACCUUCUGAUUUCUCCACAACACCUUAAUUGAAACUAUUUCUUUACUUCUCAACUUUCGGACCGGACGAUCUAGGAUUGCAAUAGGUUCCUAUUCAUAUGAUAAGGAGGCUGUCACCUUGAUAUCUUCUACAGGCAACACCAAAGAAUGGUCUCCAAUGCAUUUUUUCAACAUGGAUAUAUGAAAUACCGGAUGGACAGAACCCAAACUGCCAGGCAAUUCUAACUCAUAUGCAACACCACCUAUUCUCCUCAAAAUAUGGUAUGGUCUUAUAUAGCGAGGACUCAAUUUACCUUUCUUCCCGAAUUGCAUGACUCCCUUCAUAGGAGAAACUUUUAGGAAUACCCAAUCACCAACCUCGAACUCUAAAUCUCUUCUCCUAAUGUUGGAAUAAGAUUUCUGACGACUCUGAGCUGUCUUAAGUUGUUCCCUAAUGACUUUCACAUCUUCCAUCCCCUAAUGAACAAGAUCAGGUCAAAAUAUCUGUGUCUCACCUACUUCAUACCACCCUAUUGGUGACCUAUAUCUUUUCCUAUACAAUAACUCAAAUGGAGCCAUCCGAAUACUAGAAUGGAAACUGUUAUUAUACGCAAACUCUAUCAAUGGAAAGUGCUCUACCCAACUACCUUUUUAAAUCAAUCACAUAGGCCAUCAACAUGUCCUCAAGGGUCUGAAUGGUGCGCUCAGCCUGCCCAUCGGUCAGAUGUGAAAAACAGUACUUAGGUUUACUUAAGUACCUAAACCUCUCUAAAAAGAUCUCCAACACUGAGAAUAAAACUGUGUACCUCGGUCGGAUAUGAUAGACAUAGGUGCACCAUGCAAAUGAACUAUUUCUGCAAUAAACAGCUUGGCAUAAUCCUCACCCGAAUAGUUAGUCCUGAUAGGAAGAAAGUGAGCUGACUUGGUCAGUCUAUCUACAAUCACCCAAAUGGAAUCGUACUGGUUUCGGGACCUCAGAAUUUCUAUAAUGAAGUCCAUAUUAAUCAUCUCCCACUUCCACAAGGACAAAGCUAUCUCUUGGGAAGAACCACCUGGCCUCAUAUGUGCUACUUUAACUUGUUGGCAAUUUAAACACUUGGAAACAAAGUUAGCCACAUCACGCUUCCUAUUAUUCCACUAAUAUAUAGAUUUCAGAUCAUGGUGCAUCUUAGUAGAGCCUGGGUGAACAACAUAUCUCGAAGUGUGAGCUUUAUCAAGGAUUCUAUUCUGCAAACUAUCCACAUUUGGUACACAUAAUUUACCCUAGUAUCUCAAAAUACCUUCACCACCGAUCUCAAAAGACAUCACCUUCUGCUGACCCACAUCAUUCUUAAUUUGUAUCAAGAUGGGAUCUUCAACCUGCUUCUCUUUAACUUCCACACAAAGGGAAGAUGUAGCUAUCUCAUGAACAACCAUUCCCCCAUCUUCAGAAUCCAAGAGUCGUACUCCUAGAUUUGCAAGCUGGUGAAUAUCUUUCCCCAUCUCUCUCUUCCCUUCCUUAACAUGAGAAAGACUGCCCAUAGACAAUCUGUUGAGGGCAUUGGCUAUAAUAUUUGCCUUACCCGGAUGAUAGUGAAGGCUCAUGUCAUAGUCUUUCAAAAGCUCCAUCCAACGCCUUUGCCAGGUUUAGUUCCUUCUGUGAGAAAACAUACUACAAACUCUUAUAGUCAAUGAAAACACUAACAUGCACCCCAUAAAGAUAAUGCCUCCAAAUUCUAAGCGCAAACACCAUAGCUGCUAAUUCCAAAUCAUGAGUGGGGUAGUUCCGCUCAUGCACCUUUAACUGCCUAGAUGCAUAGCCAUCACCUUACCAUGCUGUAUGAGUACACACCCAAUUCCCACACAGGACGCAUCACAGUACACAACAAAACCCUCUAUACCUUUCGAAAGAGUCAAAAUAGGAGCCAUAGUCAACUUGUCUUUCAACUUUUCAAAACUAUUCUCACAAGAGUCGGACCACAAAAACUUCAACUUUUUCUGAGUCAACUUAGUAAGUGGUGCAGCUAUGGAGGAGAAACUCUCUACGAACCUUUUGUAAUACCCUGACAAGCCCAAGAAACUCUGAACGUCGGUCUGAAGAACCAGAAUGCACACUUGGAGAAUUUUUCAUACAACUUAUGAUCUUUGAGGGUCUGAAGAACAACACAGAGGUGAUUGGCAUGGUCCUCCUCACUUUAAGAGUAAACCAAAAUGUCAUCAAUAAAAACUAUGACAAACAGGUCUAGGAACUGACAGAAAACCCUAUUCAUUAUGUCCAUGAAACCUGCAGGAGCAUUAGUCAACCCAAAGGACAUGACAUAGAAUUCAUACUGCCCAUAUCUAGUUCAGAAGGCUGUUUUAGGAAUGUAUGACUCCUAACUUUCAACUGAUGAUAUCCUGAACGAAGGUCUAUUUUAGAAAAACACUUAGCACCCUGAAGCUGAUAAAAAAGGUCAUCGAUUCUAGGAAAAGGAUAUUUAUUUUUCACUGUGACCUUAUUCAAUUGGAGGUAAUCUAUGCACAUACGUAGGGAACCAUCUUUCUUUUGCAUGAAGAGUACAGGUGCACCCCAGGGCAAAACACUAGGUCUGAUAAAACCUUUAUCUAGGAGAUCUGCUAACUGUUCUUUCAACCCUCCAUUCUAUAUGGCAGAAUAGAAAUAGGAUGGGUAUUUGUCAAUACAUCAAUGCCAAAAUCUAUCUCCUUAUAAGGUGGAAUUCCUGGGAGAUCAUCUAGAAAAAUUUCUGGGAAAUCAUUUACUACAGGGAUAGACUGAAGGGAAAUAGUUUUGGUGUUAGAAUAUUUAACCCGAAUAAGAUGAUACAAGCAACCCUUGGAGAUAAGUUUUUGAGCUCUAAGAUAAAAUAUGAAGUGUCCUCUAGGUGCUAAAGAGUUCCCCUCCCACUCUAUUGAUGGCUCAUUCGGAAAAGAAAAGGUAACCUUUUGGGUCCUACAGUCUAGUGUGGCAUAACACCGAUGGAGCCAGUCCAUCCCUAGGAUUACAUCAAAAUCAACCAUAUCAAGUUCUAUAAGGUCUGCCACCGUAUCCCUACUAAGAAUAGACAUAAUGCAAUUUUUAUACACACUCCUUGCUAGAACAGAAUCACCUACCGAGGUGGAAAUAGAGAAAGGUUCGGCAAUUACUUCGGGCUCAAACCCAAAACUAGCUACCACAUACGGGGUCACAUAGGAUAAGGUAGACUCGGGAUUAAGUAACACAAAAACAUCACGGGAAAAGAUUUGAAACAUACUAGUGACAACAUCUGGUGAGGCUUGCGCCUCCUGUCGGUUGGUCAAUGCAUAUAACUGAUUGCAAUCGCUCGAUGCAGCUGUAGUGGUACCCUUUUGGGGUAGUGGUGGUGUGGAAGAGUUUUCCCGAGACUUAGCUCUACUAACAUUUCUCCUAGCGGAGGGAAAAUCUCUCUGGAAGUGUCCCAUCUAACCGCAAGAAUAACAGGCGAUGCCUACCACAAGUCUCGCACCAUGGAAAAGUAUGAUGUUGUUGCGCUACACUACCCAGUGACUGAGUAUCCAAAGCUCUGGGUCUAUGACUAGUCUAAAACUCUGGGGGCGUCUAUCAACUGGGGAUCUGGGCGCUAGCUGCAGACUGUGCCUUGUCCCAAAACUUUUUCUUUUGCCACUUGUUACCCCAAUUACCACCCUGUUGCUGACUGUGGUUCUGAUCCGCUGAUCUGGCUCUCUUCGCUUGCCUGUCUUUGUCUCUGGACUCAGCUAUCUUCUUAUUCUUCUCCUCAACCUACUGCAUGUGGACUGUAAGCCUAGUAAAAUCCAAUUUCCUAUUUAGCAUUUCCCCUUGACAUUCAAGAACCAGAUCAUCUGAAAGGACGGAAGUAAACUUCUUCAUUUAGGCCCUCAUACUACUCGUCAUCUUAGGAGCAUAACGGGCCAACUGAUUAAACUUCAAAGUAUACUCCUAAAUACUUAUCUUACCCUGUUUAAGGUUCAUGAACUCCUCUGCUUUAUCUUUCCUCAUCUCCAAAGGAAAGAAUCGGUCAAGAAAAGCUUCCAUAAAUUUGUCCCACACUGUCGGCUCAGCACUGUCACCCUUCGCCUCUUCCCACUCAUUAUACCAUUAGUUCGCUAUAUCCUUUAGUUGAUAAGCCACUAGUUCGACACCUUCCACCUAAUUAACAUGCAUCACUCUAAAAAUCUUCUCCAUUUCGUCUAUGAACUCUUGCAGAUUCUCUCCUACUUUAGUGCUAGUAAACUUAGGUGGGUUCAUUCUCAUGAACUGACCCACCCUAGUAGCUUCAAAUGUAACAGGUAUAGACCCAACAUCUUCUGAUCGUUGGGCCUGAUUAGACACCAACUAUGUCAGCAUAUGAAUAGAUUAUCUGAAUUCUGCAUUCGAAAUACCCCUUUAAUUAGUCGGGGGACGGUUAACAUUGGUCCGUGGAGCCUUAGGUGGACUGGUUGGGAUUGGAGGGAGUCUAGGAGAAGGGACAGGUUCUGGAGUAUGAGCUCUAUUAUGUGUCCUUAUCCCAUGAGUGGGACAGACUUCAUCCUCUUGAGCAUUAAUGUUGUUGCGAUGGGGAGGCAUAACUGGUUUUUUUAAAAAGCAAGAGAUCAUUGAUUAGGGGACAGAUUAGACUCUGAAGCAUGAGCUAAAUCACAAAGAAGAGAAACAUUCCUAAAUGCCUAGAAGCCUCCUUCCUAUAAGUGUGGCAUGCAACACACCCAUAACUAAGACUCUACUCGAUGUCAUUUUGCAAACACCCUAGGACCAUGAACAAUGAUCUAAUACUAAGUUUGCCACGACCCAAACUAGGGCCUGGCAGUGAUGGACAUCUCAGACAAUGAAGGCCCAGAACGCCCUUCUCUAUCUGGUAGUCAUGCACAACACUCAUAUAAUAAAGAAGAUGUGGAAACAUAGUCAGCUACAGAAACAUGGUCAAAUUCUAAUAUAAACAUAAGUAUGGAAAACUGUAGUGAGUCUGUGAAAUCUCUACUACAUAAAAAUCUGAUGACUGUCUGAAAACUGGGACAAGGCCCCUAAUAGACCAAACUAAUAAUAAGGGUCAUAAUCUAAAAGAUGGGCCUUCUAGAAUAAAGAAGGCUCACAAACUGAACACUGCAAACUCUGUCUGAUGAAUCUACUACCUUUCUGGACCACUAGAUUGAGCCUCAGAACCUAGAAGGAGGAGGGGGGUCAAUACAGAUGUACUGGUUUGCAAAGUAUUCCAAAAUAAAACUUUUAUAUAGAUAAAAUAGUUGGAGAGAAAAUCAUCAGACACUAUACAUGAAAUAGUUCUAAAAUACAUAGGCACUUUUUGAAAAUCACAAAUCAUUCUUAUCAAUGCAAUGUCUGAUCUUUGUAUAACUUCUAAGUUAGGUGGCCCUCCCCUACAAUUCUGAUAUUCCACGGGCUGUAGGAAAUCUGCCAUUGACUCAGUGGGGAAGCCCCCAACACAAGUGUACUGCAAGGGUUGGAGUUUCUGAUUCUGAUAUGCCACACGGAACUAGUCCAACGUAAUAUAAUAUACCCGGAUCGGCAAAUCAUGAUUUUGGGCAAUGAGUUAUCAGACUCAUGCCUUCUUCGAGGAACCACCUAACCUCUCUUUAUGCCCAAUUUUAUCCUGUUCUAAAUCAUGCAUUUUUCUAGUUCAACAUCUGAAAAGUCUAAUUUCAAACAUACUUUCUAUUCUGUUCUGAAUUAUCAUGGUAUAAUCUAAAUUGGUGUUGUCACACCAAGACUUGCAAGUGCUAUUUCUGAGCCAUAAUGCAUCAUGCAUAAUUCUUUCAUUAAAACAUAGUUCAGACUACCCAAACAUGCAAAUAGUAUAAGAGAUUUCAUGUUCCGAAAGCAUAAGUCAAAACUAUGCAAGAACUCUUCAAACAUAAGGUGGUCAUGUGCUUUUGGUAAAAUCCAUGCACUCUUUCUUAUAUGUAUUUUCAACAUUUUUCAAUACAAACAACCCUAUCUUUUGAAUUCAAGAUUCUUAUCCAAAUCAUUCAUAAAUCAAGACACUUCGUAACAUGCUUUUCAAGAUGUAUUUCAAAAACAAUCCAUAUCAUGUGAAACAUGGGAACAAUCACAUCAAGAGAGGGAUUUCAUGCUCUCAAUUCGAAUAUUAACUUAAAUUGCAUAUAUAUAUAUAUAUAUAUAUAUAUAUAUAUAUAAUAUUUCAAAUCAAUGUGGGGAAGGUCAAAAGACCAAAACAAUACCGUCAAGAUUUCUAAAACAGGAAUGUAUUCAUAAAUCUGAAAACUCCUUCCUUAAAAUCAUGAUUUCUAUGCCAUGAGAUUUUAGGAAAUCCCCGCGUACCUCAAAAUAUGGAAACAAUGGGUGUUUCUUGAAGCCUAUGAUCUGGGGAUUUCAAAUAUUCAAUCGAUUUUGAAAACCCACGGUUGAAUCUUGAGUUUCUUGAAGUUCUUGUUUGAAACUCUAGAGAGGAUUCUUGAUGAUUUUGAUGAAAAUAGGGUUAAGUUGCUCAAACAUACCCUAAAUCUUUUGUUUGGACGAUUUUAAAGGCUAGGGAAAAUUUAAAAUUAUCCUUCAUGACUCCUAAACGGAACUGUAAAUUUGAACUUAAAAACCCGAUUUCGGGUGCCACCGCAACGUGCCACAAUCUUGGUGGUCCACUGGAAUUCAACGAGUGUGAAAUUGGGUGCCUCCGCGACGCGCCACCAUCGUGGAACCUCACUGGAAUUUGAUGAUUGUCAAUUUGACCCUCUCCACGAUGCGCUAGUCACCAAAAUGAUGAUGCUUACGACUAGAACCUUAAUUAUUCAUAACUUCUUCACCGAGGGUCCUUUUGGACGAAUCUUAUAUCGUUGGAAAGAUAAUUCAGUCAUCUACGUAAUGAAAGGUUUAAAUCUAGGAAAUUCCACAUGAAAAUUAAUUUAUAUCAUUCUAGAAGCUAAAGAUUAGACUUUCCCUGGAACAAAUUUAGCUAAGAAGACGUUGGGGUGUGACAUUUUUUAGGUGAGGAAAAUACCAAAAUACCCCUAAAGAAACCAAAGAAAAUUACAAAAAUCUUCAGUUGAUGCUCAAGGUUGACGACCCAUUAUUUAGGCAACAACUCAUCACCUGUGUCGUCACUUCUAGGCCUGAAUUCUCCCCUUUCUGUACUAGGCUGAAGACUAAAGCUGAUAGCUCGUCACUUAUUUGAUGGCUCAUUAGCUUAGACAUCACCUAAGUGAUGGCUUAUGAGCAUAGUCGUCACUUAUUUUGGCAGGCAGAUACAUCAAAGUAAAAUGAAUAUAACUUUCUACUCCGAUAUCAGAUUAAGAUGUUACCAGUUUCAUUGGAAAGAGGAUUCAAAGAUCUUUUUUUCGAUGUAUGGUAGUUCCUCUAACUAAUUAUAUAAAAUAAGUUACUUCGGUGGAAAUUGACCCAAGUUUAGUCAUUCACUAAAACUUCAUCGAUAGGGAAAAUUUUCAACUCGUCUUUGAAUCAAGAGACCUCUAUGAUCGAAAUUCAUGCACAAUUAGAUCCCAACACUACCAAAUUGGUUAUAAUACUUAUAUUUACAUUGGAGUCAUUGGUUUUUAGGACCUUUACACGUAGGAAUGACAGUUUACAUUCGAGCCCAAAAAUGCAGGUUGUUACAUUAUCCCCCCUUGGGAUCAUUCAUUACCAAAUGAUGAAUCGGGACACAACACACAUGAUUUCAACCACUAAAUGGAAAGAACAGAGUAGUAUAGAAUUUGUACCUUCCAUGCCAUCAUUCAUGGUUUUGAAGAGAGUUGGGUGCUUCUACACAUUUCUUCUUCUGACUCCCACAUAGCUUCCUCAACUUUUUGAUUUUUCCACAACACCUUAACCAAAGCUAUUUCCUUACUCCUCAUCUUCUGAACUUGGCGAUCCAAAAUGGCAAUGGGUUUUUCUUUAUACACCAAAGAGUAUUACACAUUGAUCCCCUCUACAGGAAACACUAGGGGAUGAUAUCCAAUGCACUUCUUCAACAUGGACACAUGGAAUACUGGAUGAAUAAAAACUAGGCUCGCGGGCAAAUCUAACUUAUAGGCAACCCCACCGAUCCUCAUCACAAUUUUAUACAAUCCUAUAUAACGAGGACUAAGCUUCUCUUUCCUUCUGAAUCACCUGAAUCCCUUCAUAGGGGAGACCUUGAGGAAUACCCAACCACCAACCUCGAAUUCUAAAUCUCUCCUUCUAACAUCAACAGAAGACUUCUGGAAACUCUGAACCAUCUUAAGUCUCUCCCUAAUUAUUUUAACCUUCUCAUGAACAAGGUCAGGCCCAAACAACCAGGUUUCACCCACUUUAUACCACCCAAUUAGUGAUCUAUAUCUCCUCUUAUAAAGUGCUUCAAAAGGAGCCAUCUGAAUACUGUCAUGGUAGCUAUUAUUGUAGGCGAAUUCUAUCAAUGGCAAAUGAUCCACCCAGCUACCUUUGAAGUAAAUUACAUAGGACCUCAACUAUCCUCAAGGGUCUGAAUGAUGCGUUCAUCUUUCCCGUCAGUUUAAGGGUGGAAGAAAGUACUUAGGUUCACUUGGGUACCUAAACCCCUCUGGAAAGACUACCAAAACUAUGAAGAGAAGUGCAUACCUUGGUCGAAUAUAAUGGAUACUGGUGCCCCAUGCAAGCGAACUAUUUUCUAAAUGUACAUGUUGGCAUAAUCAUCUCCCGAAUAGUUAGUCCUCAUAGGUAGGAAGUUAUCUGACUUGGUCAUCCAGUCUAAAAUCACCCAAAUGGAGUCAUAUUGGUUUCGAAACUUUGGAAGCCCUGUGAUGAAAUCCAUAUUGAUUAUAUCCCACUUCCACAUAGGCAAAGCUAUCUCUUGGGAAGUGCCACCUGGCUCAAAUGUUCCACAUUUACUUGUUGAAAAAUUAAACACUUAGAAACAAAAUUAGCAGCAUCACAUUUCAUAUUGUUCCACCAAUAUAUCAUCUUAAGAUCAUGACAUAUUUUCGUAGAGCCUGGGUAAAAAACAUACCUCAAAGUGUGAGUUUUGUCAAGAAUUCUUUCCCACGAUCUAUCCACAUUUGGCACACAUAGCCUACCUUGAUACCUCAAAAUCCCAUCACCACCAAUUUCAAAUGCCAUCACCUUCUGUUGACCAACAUCAUUCUUAAUCUGUAAUAAGAUAAGAUAAUCUACCUACUUUUCUUUAACCUUAGCACACAGGGAGAAUUUACCUAUCUCAUAAAUAACUACUCCCCCGUCUUUAUAAUCCAAGAAUCAAACUCCUAAAUUUGUAAGCCGGUGAAUAUCUUUCCCCAUCUCCCUCUUUCUUUCCUCAAUAUGAGAAAUGCUUCCCCUCGAUAACCUGCUAAGAGUGUCAGCCAUUACAUUUGCCUUGCCCGAAUGAUAGUUCAAGCUCAUAUCAUAGUCCUUCAACAAUUCUAACCACUGCCUCUGCCUGAGAUUAAGUUCUUUCUAUGAGAAAACAUACUGCAAACUUUUGUGGUCAGUAAAUAUAUCAACAUGUACACCAUACAAAUAAUGGCGCCAUAUCUUAAGUGCGAACACCACUGCUACUAACAACAAGUCAUGAGUAGGAUAGUUCUUCUUAUGCACCUUUAACUUUCUAGAUGCAUAAGCCACCACUUUACCAUACUGCAAAAGCACACACCCAAGUCCCACUUGGGAUGCAUCACAAUACACGAAAAAACCUUUUGUACCCUUGAGAAGGGUCAAAACUGGUGUUGUGGUCAACUUAUCUUUCAGUUUCUCAAAACUAUUUUCACAGACCAUAUGAAUUUUACUUUUUGCUGAGUCAGUCUAGUAAAUGGAGUAGCUACGAAGGAGAAAUAUUCCACAAACCUUCCAUAAUACCCUACUAAACCCAAGAAGCUCCGGAGAUCAGUUGGAGUCGUAGGUCUGGGCCUUUUUCUCACUGCCUUAAACUUUUUAGGAUCAACCUUAAUUCCACCACUAGAAAUGAUAUAUCCCAAGAAAGUAAUAGCACUAAGCCAAAAUUCACACUUGGAAAAUUUUGCAUAUAACUCAUGGUCCUUGAGGGUCUGAAGGAUGAUUCAGAGGUGAUUGGCAUGCUCCUCCUCACUUUUAGAGUAAACCAAAAUAUCAUCUAUAAAGACUAUGACAAACCGAUCUAGAAACUGGCAAAACACCCUAUUCAUUAGGUCCAUAAAAGCUGCAGGGGCAUUAGUCAGUCCGAAGGACAUAAUGAAGAAUUCAUAAUGGCCAUAUCGGGUUUGGAAAGAUAUUUUGGGAAUGUCAGUCUCCCUAACCUUCAAUUGAUGAUACCCUAAAUGAAGGUCUAUCUUAGAGAAAUAUUUAGCACCUUAGAGUUGAUCAAAUAAAUCAUUGAUUCUAGGAAGAGGGUAUUUAUUAUUAAUUGUGACCCUAUUUAGCUGAUGGUAAUCUAUGCACAUAUGGAGGGAGCCAUAUUUCUUAUACAUUAAAAUUACAGGUGCAUCCCAAAGAGAAAUACUAGGAUGGAUGAAACCCUUAUCAAGAAGAUCUUUCAACUAUUCUUUUAACUAUAUUAGUUCUAUGGGAGCCAUUCUAUUUGGUGGAAUAGAAAUAGGCUGAGUGUCCAACAAUAAGUCAAUGACAAAAUCUAUCUCUCUAUUGGGGGAGGGGGUGGGGGUAUCCUUAGGAGAUCAUCGGGAAAGACUUCCAGGAAUUCAUUAACUACAAGAAUAGACUAGAGGGAAGGACUUUAAGCACUGGAAUAUUUGACCCGAAUAAGAUGACACAAACAAAACUUUGGUCUAAAACUACAGGCUCUAAGAUAAGAUAUGAAUUUCCCUCUAGGUUUUAAAGAAUACCCCUCCUACUCUCUAGCUUUUUUAGAAAGUAGAAAGUAACUUUUUGAGUUCUAUAGGCUAAUAUGGAAUAACACGAAUGGACCCAACCCAUCCCCAAGAUAGCAUCAAAGUCAACCAUAUCAAACUCUACAAGUUCUACCAUAGUAUCACGAUCAUAAAUGGACACAACACAAUUUCUAUAAACCUUCCUAUCCAUAAUAGAGUCACCAAUAGGAGUAGAAAUGGAGAAGGGAUCAAAAAUGUUUUCGGGAUCAAAACCAAAAUUAACUUCCACAUAUGGGGUCACAUAAGAAAAGGUAGACCCUGGGUCAAGAAACGUAUACAUAUUAUGGGAAAUAAUUUGCAACGUACCCGUGACCACAUCUGGCGAAGCCUUUGCAUCCUGACGGCUAGAUAAAGCAUAUAACCAAUUGCGAUCAAUCCCAGCAGAUGAAGUAAUACCUUAGGGAAGUGGUGGUGGCAUUGAGGAAUUCGCUUGGGACCUAGCACCAUCGAAGUUCUCUUUGAAAGAAGAGCACUUUCUCUGAAAAUGGCAUGACUGACUACAAGUAUAGCACACCAAGCUUCCUAACUGAGACUUUCCCUGGGUGAUGUUUACCACAAGUCACACAUUGCAAAAAUGAUUGAUACGGUGGAGCUACACUACCUUAGUACUGAGUACCCUAUGCCUUACAACCACUGUAAGACUGUGGGUUAAAGGACCGCUAAUCAACUAGAGGUAUGUGCGCUGGGGCAUUGACCGAUGAUUGAGCAUUUCUCCAAAAAUUUAUCUUAGACUACCUAUUUUCCCAAUUACCACCCUAGUGUUGAUCGUUAUUUUGUUCUAUAGAUGUCUUUCUCCCUUGUUUCUGCCACCCUUUUCUUCUUCUCGUCAACCUGGUGCAUGUGAACAUGUGAAUAGACGUCCAAGAGAAAUCCAUAUCUCUAUUCAACAUUGACCCUUUGCAUUCCGACACCAGAUCAUCCAAGAGACCAGAUGCAAGCUUCCUUAUGCGGGCUCUCAUAUUACCUGCCAAUUCUGAAGCAUAAUGGGAUAGCUGAUUGAACUUAAAUGUGUACUCCUUAACACUCAUUUUCCCUUAUUUCAAGUUCAUAAAUUCUUUAACCUUUGAUUCCCUCAAUUCCUGAGAAAAGAAAUGAUCCAAAAAAGCUUCCACAAAAUCACCCCACACAGAAGGCUCAGCAUAAUUACCCUUCAAAUCCUCCGAUUCAUUAUACCACUGAUUGGCCACAUCCUUCAACUGAUAGGGUUCCAACACAACUCCUUCAACCAUAACUCUGAAAAUUUUCUCCAUCUUAUUAAUAAACCCUUGGGUGCCCUCCUCAAUCUUCGUGCCAGUAAAUAUAGGUGGGUUCAGUAUCCUGAAUUGACCAACCCAUGUAACCUCAGAUGAACCAUACACAGAACCCACAUCUUUAGACUGAUGGGUCUGAGAGGCCUUAACUAAUCACUCAUAUGGAUGGACUAUUAAAACUCAGCAUUUGAAGCUUCUCUCUAAGGAGGGAGGGGACAGUUAACAUCAGUUCAUGGAGCCUCAGGUGGACUAGUCAAAACUGGAUAAAGUCCUGGAGUAGCAACAAACUCUGGGGUACGAGCUUUUUUACAAUUCCGCAUCUCAUGAGUGGAACGAACAACCUCAUCUUGGGUGUUUAGUUUGUUGGUCCUACAAGGAGGCAUAAUCAAAUUUUUAAAAUAUAGGAAAUCAUUGAUUAAAGAACAGUCAAAUUCUAUUGCAUGAACUAAAUCAUGAAAGAAGAGAGACAUUCCUAAAUGUCUUGUAGCCUCCUACUUAUAAGUGUGUUGCGCUACACACCUAUAAAUAGGACUUUACCCAAUGUAAUUUCGUAGACACACUAGGACUAUGAAUUGUUCUCUAGUACCAAGUUUGUCACGCCCCAAGCUAAGGCCCUGGCCGCAACGAGCAUCCCAAGCCAUGAAAACUCGAGUGCUCUUCUCUAUCUGGAAAUCGUGCACUACGUUCAUACAAUAUAUAGAAAUGCAAAAAAACUAUCAUAUAGAAACAUGGUCAUUCUUAUAAAUCAACUAAACAAUCGAAAGGGGUUAUCAAUAUUUAAAACACAUGAUGCUAGUUUGCAAUAACAAAACAUAAUCAAACAUAUGUCUAACAACUGGGAAAAGGCCCCCCAGUCGGACCAUGAAUCAACAUAACAUAACAAUGUCUUCUAAAAUAGGCAUUCCGAAAUAGAGAAUGCUCACCAUCUAUAAGGCUCAGAUACACCAAUUUACUGCUUAGAUGGACCCCAAGACUGUGCCUCAGAUCUUGAAUAUAGGGGUCAAUACAGAUAUGCUAGUAUGUCGAGCAAUCCAAAAUAAUGCACUUUUAUGCAAACAUAAGUGAGAGAAUUUCACAAAACAUUUUGCAUAAAAUAGUUACAAAGUACAUGGGAAAUUUCCAAUGAUCUUAAACCAAUUCUAUGGAUGCAACUCCUUUCUUUUUUUUACUUCUAAACUAGGUGGUACACUCUACAAGUUUGAUAUUUCAUGGGCUAUAUGGAAUCUGCCCUUGACUUGGAAGCUAAGCCCCCAACCCAAGUUUUCCGUAAAGGUUGGAGUUUGUAAGUCUGAUAGACGAUAGGACACUAGGCUAGCGUAUAAUUCCUCUUGGGGGAAUAAUAACCCAUAUUGGUAAAACACAGUUUUGAGCAAUGAGUUUUCUGAACUCGUGCCUUCUUCGGGCGACCACAUAACAUCUCUUAAUCCCAUUUUUAACCUUUUCUGAACAUGCAUAUUCAAGAACUCAAAAUCAGAAAAUCUGAAUGAAAUCUGACUUCUAUUCUAUUCUGAGUCUAAUAUGAAUUAUCUAUUUUGAUAUCUGUCAUGACCGAAGCCAAGUCCCUGGCCGUAAUGAAAACCCCGAACCAUGGAAACCGGGGCACUCUUCUACAUCUAGUAAUCAUAUACAAUACUUAUAAAAUAAAGAAAAAAUGUGGAAAUAUAAAUCAUUAUGGAAACAUGGUCAUGUUCUAAAUUACGUACAUCAAUACGAAAGAAAAUCCAUCAAUAUCUAGACAAUAUUUGUUCCUGUCUACGAAAUCUGUAAUACAUACGAAACUAUCAGACUAUUUCAAACUAGGACAAGGCCUCAGUGGACCUAAACCAAAGUAACUAACAAGUAUCUGGAAAGAAAUAGGCCUUCUGGAAUAAAAAAGGCUCACCAACUGCACACUUUUGAAUAACUCUACGGCUUAGCAGGACCUCUAGACUGAGCCUCAGACCCUGAAAUAUAGGGGGUCAAUACAAUUGUACUGGUACGAAGAGCAAUCCAAAAUAAUGAAUUUAAAUAUAUAAAAUAAAUGAGAGCAGUUCAUGAAAUAUCACGCAAGAUAUAGUUUAAAAUGCAUGGGCAAAUCUUUGAUGAUCAUCAAAAAUUCUUGUCAAUGCAAUUCAAUUCUUUGUAUUACUUCUGAGUUAGGUAGAAUGCCCUACAAUUCUACGAUCCCACGGGCUAUAUGAAUUUUGCCCUUAAUUCGGCGGCCAAGCACCCAACCCAAGUUUGCCGCAAGAGUUGGAGUUUCUAAUUUUGAUAUGCCACAGGGCAUUAGGCCAGCGUAUAAUCCCUCUUGGGGACAUAAUAACCUGUAUCGACAAAAUACAGUUUCGGGCAAUGAAUUAUCUGAACUCAUGCCUUCUUCGGGUAACCACCUAACAUCUCUUUAUGCCCAUUUUUAACCCUUUUUGAACAUUUACACUUAAGAUGCCAAGUUCUGAAAAAUCUGAAUGAAAACUAAUUUCUAUUGUUAUUCUGAGUCUAUUUUGGCAUUAUUUGUUUUGGUGUCAUCACACCAAGACUUACAAGUCCUAUAUCUGUGCCACAUGGUACCAUAAAUGAUUAUUCCAUUCUAAACAAUUUUCAUACCACUCAUCAUGUAAAUAGUAUAAAAAAAUUCAUAUAUCAAAACACGAGUCAAAACCAUGUAAGGAUCUUUACCCUUUCAACAAUUUUCAACAAAUAAUUGUCCAUUUGUCAAGACCAUUUAUGAAAUCCCUUCAUUCGUCAUUUAUAACAUUUAAGUCAUAGUACCAUUCCUCUCUCAAAUUUUCAACCGUCAUAAAAAUCCAAGUAAGAUAAUAAUGCUCUUGACUCAUCAUUUAAAUCAUGCAAGUUUAAGAACCCAUAACUUGUAAAUCAAGUAGUAACACACUGGGAGAGGAAAGGAUUUGAUAAUUCAUUCUCUCAAUUCAUAUUUCAAAUACUUCAACACAUAGGUAUGUAUAUAAUAGUCAAAUCACUUUCAAGGGAAGGCCUCAAGACCAAAACAUUAUUAUCAAGGGCUUCAAAAGCAUGAUUAUAAUUGUAAAUCCAAAACCCUUUUUGUAAGUUCAAAAUUUCUAAACCUUUAACAUAUUUAAGUGGGAAUUUCUAUGCCCAUGUAAUUUUAGUAAAAUUCCAUGUACCUUAGAUCACUUAGGAGGAAGGGUGGAAUCCGAAUCUCAAUUUAGUUCUUGGAAUUCUUGACUUUAAUGAUGAACUCUUGAUCUGAAGAGAAGGAACUAGGAUUUUGAUUUGAGAUAAUAAGAGUAGUUUUUGAUGUAUUUUCCCCAAAAAUGAUUUAAUUUUGUGUUUGGGCGAAUUAGGGUAAAGGAAAAUGACCAAUUUUCCCUUAAAAACAUGGAGCUUGAUUGCAGAAAAAUACACGGGCCGGAAUAGCCAGCGCACCGCAGGCUCUAGAGCGCUGCUCAGGACAAGGCGUCACGGUUUCUAUCGCGGUCUAUUCUAGGUGCCUGAUUGGGCGGGCUGCCAUGGGCAUAUCACCCCGAGUUGAUGAUUUGGAGUACCAAACAUGCCCUUACGCUUGUCCGAAAAUUCUGAAACUCACCUCAGAUGUACUAUUGACUUCUCCGAUCAUGAAUCAACUUAAAAAUUAAAUUUUUGAGGUUGGGAAGGUCGAAAAUAAAGUCAUCAAAUAUUAGGAGCUCAAAAUGUGACCAAGUCCUUUUCUUAACACUUAGAAAGGAAAAAUCAUUCAAGUUGUCAGCUUAUUAAGCAUGCUUUAAAGUGAUAUUGAAUCGAGAAAAUUAUGGGGCAUUACAGUAUCAUAAUACCAAAACUUGCAAGUCACAUGUCUAAGCUAUAUCAUAAUCGUAUUACAGGUCUUUUACUCCAAACAAUGUUCAGACAUGAAAAAUAUUCAAACAAUAAAAAAGGAUUCUUAUUUCAAAACAUAUUUCAAACUAUGCAAAGACUCUCUCUCCUUUCAACAUUUCAACCAAUGGUGGUCAAUUUCUAAAAUCAAUCAUGUAAUCCCUUCAAUUAUCACAUUUAGCAUUUAAAACAAGAAAUUAUCACUCUCUUUAAUUCACAAUCGACAUAAAAUUCCUAUAAGUUAGUAAACUAUUGAUCCAUGCUUUAAGACAUGUAAUUGAAUGAUCGUUGACUUGUAAAUCAAGAAGUAACACGAAGGGAGACGAAAAUUUGUUCUUUAUGAUCUCAAUUCAUAUUUUACAACUGAAAAUAUGUAUAAACAUAUACACGAGUAAAAUUCAACUUCAAUAUAAGGCCUCAAGACCAAAACACAUAUCAUUGGUAGGAUUCACAAUGCGUACUUUUUAAUGCCAUUCAAGCCUUUCAUAAAAACAUGAUUUAUCAACAUUCAAAACAUUAAUAUAAACUAUUUAGCCAUGCCCAUGUAGUUUAGGAAAAGCCUCACGUACCUUAUGUUGUUUAGUUUGAAGAUAGGAAUUCUGAUCUUGACCCUUUUCUUGAAAUCUUUAACUUAGAGGAAACCUAAUUUCUCCUUGUUAUUGAGAGUGAAGAGGAUUAUGAGUGAUGAGAAAAUGAUAUUUUAUCAGUUAAUAGGGUUUUAUGCGUGAUUUAAGUUGUGGGGAUGGGUUUUGAAUUGAGGAAAAUACCAAAAUACCCCUAAAGAAACCAAAGAAAAUUGCAGAAAUCUUCAAUUGACGACCAAGGUUGAUAGCCCAUCAGUUAGGUGACGGCUCGUCACCAAAGAUGUCACUUUUAGGCUUGAAUCCCCCCCCCCCUUUCUGUCCUAGGCUGAUGACUAGAGCUAAUGAGUCAUCACUUAGUUGACCGCUCGUCAGCUUAGUCAUCACCUAUGUGAUGGCUUAUCAGCAUAGUCGCCACUUAGUUGAUAGACAGAUACUUCAAAGUAAAAUGAGCAUAACUUUCUACUCGUAUAUUGGAUUAAGGUGAAACCAGUUGCGUUGGAAAGAUGAAUAAUAGAUAUUUAUGUUGGUAUAUUGUAGGAACUUUAAAUCAUUACAUACAAUAAGUUAUGGACAAUGGAAGUUGGCCAAAGUUUAGACAUUAACUAAAACUUCAUCAAUAGGGAAAAUUUUCAUCUCGUCUUUGAAUCAAGGGACCUCUAUUAUCUCAAUUCAUGAAAAACUAGAUUCCCAAACUACCUAAUUGAUUAUCAUACUUAUAUUUUAAUUGUAGUCAUUGUCUUUUGGGACCUUUAUACAUAGGAAUGAUGAUUUACGUUGUAGUCUUAAAAUAUAGGUUAUUACAAGAAUAUAGUAUGGUAUGCAAGGCAUAGGACUUACCAAAUUUCCCUGGACAGUAACAAAGUCGUUUGGGAGCAUGGAAAUUUGUUCUAUUAGAUCAUCGUAAAGGAGUAAUUAGAUGAGAGGAUCCCUCUUUCGAAGUUGAGAAUGAUGAUGUAGAGGCAAUCUGGAAAGAGAUGAGGGCUGGAGAGCAUCAUUACCACCGUUCACGGGUUGUUCUGGAGAUUCAAGUGGAUGGUCAAUACUAAAAGGAGUUAAGGGUUGGAGAUCACCAUUAUCAGCCCCAUGGGCUGUUUCAAAGAGCCAAGCUGAGGGUCAGUAGCUACCACAUUGUCAUCAAACUUGUACAAAAAAGAGAGAUUCUGAAGCAUUUCUAUAGUUUUGUUUGUAAGAAAACUGAUCCUUAAAGAAAAUAACAUAUCUAGAUAUUCGAAGUUGACGACGAGAUGCAUCAUAAAAUAGAUACCCCUUUUGUGUGUCGCUGUAGCCCACAAAAAUACACUGUGUUGCCUUUGCCAAAAGAUUAUGUCGUUCAUGUGCUGGAAGAUGGACAAAGCAAACAAAACCAAAAAUGCGCAAGUGAGAAUAAUCAGGCUUACUAUGAAAUAAUUUGAUGUACGUUGUCUCAUUUCCAAUGAUUGAGGAAGUUUGUCUAUUGAUCAAAUUUACAGAGGUAUGUAUUGCUUCGGGCCAAAAACUUUUUGGCAUAUUCGACAGACUCAAUAAAGCCAAUGUAGUUUCCAAAACAUGUCGAUUCUUCCUUUCUACGGCCCCUUUUGUUCUUGAAUUAUGAGGACAAGUACGUUGGGAAAUAAUUCCUUUGUUUUUGAAAAAUUCAACAAUAUUAGUCUUAGUGUACACUCUUCUUGAAUCAGAAUGAAAUAUUCUUACAGUUUUAUGAAAUUGUGAACGAACAUACUCAAUAAUAUUCAUAAUAAGAUUCGGAACCUCAUAUUUAUUUCUAAUAAAAAACACCCGGGUGUAUCUAAAUACGUGAUCAAUAAAUAACACAAAGUACUUAUAUCCCAUCCUAGUCAAAAUAGGAGAAGGACCCCAAACAUCACUAUGCGCUUAAUCAAAUUGAUCUUCAUAAGCAGAUGAACUGGAUGGAAAAGGGAGCUUGUGACUUUUUGAACUGGCACAAUUUGUACAUGCCAAUGAGAGACUGGAAUGGAUAUGAUGUGUUGUAGGAAUACAUGAUUUAAGUAUAUGUUGAAGCCGAAAAGAAUAAGGAUGACCCAUCCUAUUAUGCCUAAGUGUGAGAAAUAUCUUGAGCAACAUAGCUGCAGAAACUGAAAGAAAACAAUGAUACAAGUGAUGGUGAACUGACUCUAGUAGAAACAUUCUACCAAAUCUACACCUCGUGGCCAUGAUCAUCCUGAUUUUCAUAUUCUGAACAACACAACCAUUUGGUGAGACUUUUACAAUACAAUUUUGGUCACCUAGUUGACCUACUGAAACCAAAUUAGCCUUCAAAUUUGGUACAUAAAGAACAUUAGAAAGAUUUUCAAUAGAACCAAUACCGUAUGCGGGUAAUUUUUUCCCGUUUGAUAUAUGAAUAACAUGUUUAGAAACAUCACCAAACAAUAAUGAGAAUUGGGACAAACCACCUGUCAUAUGAUUAAAAGUCCCUGAAUCUAGAUGCCAAGUAGAUAUAAUUGGAUUACUUGUACCUGAAGAGGAUGCCAAAGUGCACCUGAGAUGGCUUUGAGAAGGAUAGCUACAAUAGAAUCUCGCAUUAGUUUUUCAUGAUCAUGACCGGCAGGGAAGGAACUAGAUGAUGUAGUGACAUUUGUCUUAUAAACUUGAUGAGCAGUUCGCGAACAAUUUAGGUAAUGACGACAAUAUAAAAUAUGAUGGACAGUAAUUUUGUAGUAAGCACAAUAUUUUUUCUUCUUAGGACAAUUGAUUGCGAUAUGACCAAAGUCUUGGCAUUCAUAGCAUCGGAAAGUUCUCUUAGUAUUUCCUAUUCAAGCAACGACUGUUGAUUUUCCUACAAGUAAGGCAACAGAAGGUGAUGGCAUAAAAUUCAUGGCAGCCUGAGUUCCAAGUCUUGUCUCUUCACGUAAGACGGCUGUCAAUACAACGUUAAGAGCAGGUGUGACUUCCCUAUUAAACAAACUACCAUGAAUUGGCUCAAAUUUAAGACAGAGUUUAAUUAAGAAUUGUUACGAUUCAGAUAGAUUAAGUAAAACAUAAGUAAAAGAAAACAAGAACAACACAAUUUACAUGGAAACCCUUGCGGGAAAAACCACAGACAAAGGCAGAGGAGGUUUCACUAUAAUGGAGAGAGGGUACAAAGUGGGAGACAUAGUCUCAAUGACAUAAUUUCUGAAUGAACAAAAUUGACCCACUAAUUGCACUUAUAUAAUGCGUGCAUACAAAAGAAGUCUUAGGCACAAAAACAAGUCCAAGCAAUGCUUAAACUUGGCACUUUGUAGUGUCUUGGUCAUCAUAUCAGUAGGAUUAUCAUGAGUACUAAUCUUGCUCACCACAAUAUCACCAUGGGCAAUAAUUUCACACACAAAAUGAUAUUGAACAUCGAUGUGCUUUGUCCUCUCAUGAAACAUUUGAUCUUUCAUAAGAACGAUAGCACUCUGACUGUCGGAAAAGACCGUAGUAAUCUGUAAGUCUUUACUAAGUUCACCAAACAGACCCUUCAACCAAAUAACUUCAUUGAAAGCCUCUGUAACAGCCAUGUACUCUGCCUCAGUAGUUGACAAAGCCACCGUCGUCUAUAAGGUAGCCUUCCAACUAAUAACACAACCACCAAUGGUUAAAAAAUAGCCUGUAAAGGACCUUCUUUUAUCAUGGUCUCCUGCAAAAUCAGUAUCAACAUACCCAAUUACUCCAUCACUAUUUCACCCAAACUGCAAACAAACAUCAGCCGAUCCAUGCAAGUAUCUGAAAAUCCACUGAACUGCUUUCCAAUGUUCUUUUCUAGGAUUUUUCAUAUAUCUACUAACUGCACUGACAACAUAAGAUAAAUAUUGUUGGGAACACACCAUCACAUACAUAAGAGACCCGACAACACUAGAGUAUGGAACUAGAGACAUAUAAUCAUGCUCAUCAUCUAUCUUUGGAGAUAAAGUGGCUGAGAGUUUGAAGUGAGCUGCCAAUGGAGUACUUAUAGGCUUGGCAUUUUUCAUAUUAAACUUGUGAAGCACUUUUUCAAUAGAUCUUUUCUGACUCAAGUAUAACUUACAAUUCUUUCUAUCCCUCAAAAUCUCCAUGCCAAGAAUCUUCUUUACUGCUCCUAGAUCCUUCAUAUCAAACUCCCUAUUGAGUUGGGCUUUGACUUUUAUUAUCUCUCUCAUAUCUUUUUCUGCAAUCAAUAUAUCAUCAAUAUACAAGAGAAGAUACACGAAUGAACCAUCACUUACCUUCUUGAAAUAGACAUAACUAUCAUAGUUUCUCCUAUGAAACAUAUGAGAGGUCAUAAAAGAGUCAAACCUCUUAUACCACUGCCUGGGUGAUUGCUGUAAACCAUAAAGAGACUUUUUCAGCAAGCAUACAUAGUCCUCCUUUCCUGAGACUACAAAGCCCUCUGGUUCCUGCAUAUAGAUGUCCUCCUCAAGUUCUCCAUGUAAGAAUACAGUUUUGACAUCCAACUGCUCAAGCUCAAGAUUAUGCAUAGCCACAAUAUCAAGCAAUGCUCGAAUCGAACUAUUGUUUACAACUAGAGAAAACACAUCUGUGAAGUCGAUACCUGGAGCCUGACUAUAGCCUUUAGCAACUAGUCUUGCUUUAUAUCUAGAAUCUGCAAUUCAUGAUGUUCCUUCUUUCUUUUAAAAUACCGACUUGCAACGAAUAAGUUUCUUAUCUUAGGCAAUCUCACCAAAUCCUAUAUGCCAUUCUUAUGAAGUGAUUCCAUCUCCUCUUUCAUAGCAAUCAUCCAUCGACCAGAAUUAUCACAAUUAACUGCCUUUGAGUAAAAAGAAGGUUCUUCACCGGAAUUAAUAUAUUCUUCUACAUUCAAUGCAUAACCAACCAAAUUAGCUUCAGCAUACUUUUGAGGAGGUCUAAUAUCUCUUCUAGGUAUGCCUUUAGCAAUAGAAUAUUGUGGCGUCACUGGUGGUGACAAAGAAAUAGUACCACUCUAUAUCUCUCGGCUAGACUGAGAAGUAGGCACUAGUGUAGACUCUGCUCUAAUCUGCAAUUCAAUAUGGGUGCUUGACUAUUGCUGAUUUAUCUCACUAAGCUCAUUUGGAGGUGAAGCAGUAUAUUCGGAGGGAGCCUAAAGCAUGGCAGUUUCAUCAAACAUAACAUCCCUGCUAAUUAUAACCUUUUUGAUUUUUGGACACCAAAGCUUAUAACUUUUAACACCGGGCUUAUAACCCAUAAAUAAGCACUUGAUAGAUCUAGAUUCCAACUUUCCAUUAUCAAUAUGAGAAUAAGCAGUACAUCCAAAUAUCCUUAAAUUAGAUUAACUAGCAGGAGUGCCAGACCAUACCUUUUGUGGAGUCUUUUUAUCAAUUGCGACUAAGGGAGAGUGGUUAAUAAGAAGACAAGUUGUGGAAGCAGCUUUGGCCUAAAAAGACUUGGGUAAAUCAACAUUAGAGAGCAUACAACGCACCUUCUCCAUUAUAUUCCUAUUCAUUCGUUCGUCCACACCAUUCUACUGUGGAGUACGAUGAACUGUCAAGUGCCUCACAAUUCCUUAUGACUUGCACAAAGCAUUAAAUUCAUUAGAAUAGAACUCUAAACCAUUAUCGGUCCGAAGGCAUUUUACCUGCUUCUCUGUCUGCUUUUCAAUCAUAGUCUUCCACUCCUUGAAAGUAGGCAACACAUCAUUCUUUUACUUCAGAAAGAACACCCAAAAUUUUUUGGAAUAGUCAACAUGUAAUUAGCGCCUCCUCUAGAAGGUACUCUAGCAGGACCCAGAGAUCAAAAUGAAUGUAAUAAAGUGUGCCCUUAGUUGAGUGGAUGCCUUUAAUGAAUAUGACUCUCUUCUACUUUCCAAAAAUGCAGUGCUCACAGAACUCCAAUUUGGUAAUACUCUACCAUCCAGAAGUCCUCUCCUGCUUAGUUCAGCCAUCUCGUUUUCACUCAUAUUCCCUAGGUGCAUAUGCCAAAAAUUAGCAAUGUCACUUUCUGAUAGAGAGAAGGUAAAAAUAGUUGCAUCACCUAUAAUAGUAGAACAUACAAAUUUGCAUACUUUAUCUGUCCCUUCAUUACAACAAGUACACCUUUAGGACUCCACCUUCACCAGUGUACCUAUAACCGUUCGAAUCAAGGGUACUAAGGAAAUAAGAUUUCUCUUCAGGUCUAAGACAUAUCGCACAUCACCAAGUGUCCUCACAACCCCAUGAAAUAUCUUGAUCCUGAGUGUUCCAAUAGCAGCUAUCUUACAAGGUGUGUUAUUUCCCAUUAGCACAACACCUUUAGAGACUAUUUCAUAUGUUGUAAACCAAUCCCGAUUACGACACAUAUGAAACGUGCAAGCUGAAUCAAGAAUCAAAUCCUCACAGGGUUUGGAGUUACUAUCAAAAACUACCAAAAGUUCUCUAUCGCUGCCACUAUCUUCCACAAAAUUGGCAUCACCAAACUUCUCUGGUUGGUUUCCCUUCAGUUUUGGAGCUUCUCUUUUCUCUCUAUUUUGUAGUUUCCAACACUCAGAUUUGAUAUGGCCUUUUUUCUUGCAGUAAUUAUUCUGUUUUUGGAUUUGGACCUAAACCUAUCAUCACCCCAGAAUUCCUCUCAUGAGUCCUUCUUUGAAUAAUGAGACCAUCUCCUUGAGUCUCCGAACCAUUCACAGGAUGCUUUUUUUCUCCUUAGAGAAUAAUGCAUCAUAGACUUCAUUUAUGUUUAGGGUAUCACGACUAUAUAAAAUCGUAUCCCUAAAGAUCGUGUAUGAUGAAGGAAGAGAACACAAAAAAAUCAACCCAGAAUCUUCCAUAUCAUACUUAACCUCCAGAGUCUCUAAGUUAGAGACGAUUUCUUUAAAGACAGUUAGGUGAUCUUCGAAAGACGCACCUUUAAACAUAUGAUGGAAAUAAAGUCGCUAUUUGAGAUGCAACUUACUUGUUAGGCUCUUCGUCAUGCAUAAAGAUUCCAGUUUAAACCACAACACAGCGGUAGUGGUCUCCUUCAAAACAUCCUGUAGAAUAUGAUUGGAUAUAUAAAGGUGGAUCUGAGAUAGAGCCUUUCAAUCUUUACGCUGUUUAUCCUCGUUCCUCCAUGAUGAGGGCAUCUUAUCAAACCCUAAUAGAGCAUCUUCAAAAUCCAUUUGCGUGAGCACAGCCUGCAUCUUAAUUUGCCAUAACAAAAAUUUGGUGUUGCGAUCCAAUAGCGAAAUAUCAUACUUCAUGGUUGCCAUCCCCGAGAAAAUAAUCAACCAAGCUCUUGAUUCAGAUAGAUUGUUAAGAUUCAGACAGAUUAAGCAAACCACAAUUAAAAGAAAAUAAGAACAACACACAGAUUUCCGUGAAAACCCUUACGAGAAAAACCACAGGCAGAGGCAAAGGAGGUUUCAUGAUAAUGGAGAGGGAGUACAAAGUGGGAGACAUAGUCUCAAUGAUGUAAUUUCUGAAUGAACAAAAUCGACCCACUAAUUGCACUUAUAUUAAUACGUGCAUACAAAAUAAGUCCUAGGCCCAAAAACAUAAAGGUCCAUACUGGGUCGGAUCAACACAAUUCGGGUCACAACUUUAACAAAAAUUGCACCACCCAUGUCUUCUUCCGUUCUUCCAACACCUCCUUGAGCCCUACCUUAAAAAUAUUUUGCCCAAGAUUUUCAUCUUGUUCUGACCUGAGCAACUGCAUGCCAUCGUAAAAGGAGCGAACAUUCUUGUCCCCUUGUGUGUAUUCUGCAAUGUUGCAUUCCAAUUUAAACUCCCGCGCAAGGUUUCUUUGUUGGUAGAAUGUACAGAGGUGGGUCUACAUCUUAGAAGCAAAACUAAAAGGUCUAAGCCCCAUAGAAAUGUCAGCAUGUACCGAAUUCAACAUCCAAGGAAUUACCUUCGUAUUAUUUAAUUUUCAAAGAUCCAACUCGUUUGCAUCUGUUGGUGGACAUGCAGAUCUAUCUAACAACCCAAAAAGGCCUUGCCUUGAACAAAAAUUCCAAAGUGGAACUCCCAAAGACUAAAAUUGGAACCAUCCAAUUUUGUGGAGAGCAAAUUGUGCGGAGAGGAUUGUGAAUCCAUUGAUCGACCGAUCACAAAAGAGGAAAAAAGAAGGUACAGGGUACCUGUGUAAGGAACCAAAGAGCACAAAAGGAACUCAAGAAGGUAGCAAAGUAACUGUGCAGAGAAAAUAGAAAGCACUGAAAAAAAAUUAGAUGGUGGCUUUGAACCAUGACAGAUUGUUAUAACUACACAAUUUGUAAUUAAAUCCUAUUCUAGGAAAGAGAAUAUUUUGUCUAUACAAUUAUAAUAUUGACUAACAAUUAUAACUGUAGGACUUGGGUAACUCGUAUAGCACAUAUAUAGUUCGAACUAGACACUUUACAUAAUUCACGUUAUAGACAAAAAUACAAUCAUUUAACAAUUACAAAAUGGAGUCAAAGAAAGAGAAUAUAUGCUUAGGACUUAGGUGUUCAAAAAGAGCUAGGAGAUGUCUUCUUUUGAUCAACAGAUUAUGUAUUUAGUGUUGUCACUGAAGAAAAUAAAAUUGUAUACAAGCAAUUAAGAAUAAAACAAAAAUCCAUAUAAAAAAAAGGUUCUCUGAUUUCCUGGAUAGGAUUCUACCGCCAUCAAAACACUUCUAUUAUUUUAUCUAUGUACUCCACCCAUCAUAUCGAGGAUAUACUUCAAAUAACUCAGCAAAUAGACAAACACAUACGUAGAUCCAUCAUUAGGUAGCGCAUCAAGAUAUCAAAAGAUAAGUUACUAAGGAUUCACAUUGUUCAGGUAUUAGAAGAUUGAAUACAGCUGAUGCCACACCUUGUACAUAAUAUACUGCACUUAAUUUAUAAAGUAUUCAUGAAUUAGAAAGACUUCAAUGAUUUCCCAGAAACUAUUUUUUCCAGUAACUUAUUUUUCAGAAGCUUACUUUUCUGUUUUUUUUUCCAGAAAUUUAUUAGAGGACUAAUUUAAUUGACGAAGAUGAAGAAGUUCCUUAAACUUUAGACAUCUUGAGAAUAAUUCGAAUUGAGAGAAAAAAUAAAACUCAGAAGAAACAGAAAAGAGAUAGUCUUUCAUACCACAAAUCAUUUGAAGAAUUUAAGAUCGCAAAGAGGAAACUAUGCUUGAUUUCUUGAGCCAGUUCCCUGGACCUUCUUACGAGUUGAGUUUGAGUGGAGAUUUAGGAUUACUGGAUGAUGAAAUAGCUUGUGAAACUGAUGGAAAGAGGGGAGUUUUUAAAUGUGUGAAGCUAAGGAAAACAGAUGGAAAACUAGGGAUGCUAAGGAAAACAGAUGGAAAACAUAGGGAUGCUACUUGUUUGAAAAUAACGCUCUGCUGAAAAAUAUAGAACAUCUGGAAACUAAUGAAUAAAAGCGUUUUAAACUGCUUAUGGGGUAAGGUAAGAAAGAAAAUACGAAACAGAUGGAAAACAUAGGGAUGCUACUUUUUUGAAAAUAACGCUCUGCUGAAAAAUAUAGAACAUCUGGAAACUAAUGAAUAAAAGCGUUUUAAACUGCUUAUGGGGUAAGGUAAGAAAGAAAAUACGAAACUUCCCUUGAAGGGACUUGGCAAGUUGAUGAGCAGUGCCAUGAUACUUGCUGCCCUUCUUCAUUCCUUUGCACUGCUGCGAUCUUGCAGCAGUGAAAUCUGCAUCCCCGAUUAUGAUUUACACGCCUAUAACCUCCAAAACAUGUACAAAUCAUCCCAUGUUGAUUUCCAACUACAUAUGAAGUUCAUUAAGCUCAAAUAUGGAUUCAUAACACCUCAACAAACAACUAUAAAUUGAACUUAAAAUGCGAGUUGUAACAAUACUAUAUAUCACCAUCCAUCAACUCCACAAUAAUAUGUUUAACUUAACAAAAUUACUCUGCAGUUCCAAAUCAAAUAUUCAACAUAUAUAAAGAAAAUUCUGAGGUCUUCAAUCUUGAUAUGUGUAGCUCUUAAGCUUGUGUAGAAUUGUGCUGAAGCCAAUUUGAGAAAGCUUGAAGAGUGUUCAUAUCAGGUCUAUAAUGUUUCUGAGUAAACUCAAGGAGGGUAGGCCAUGUGAAGUCUGGAUAUAUUCGAGGUUUGUUGGAGUCUACCAAUUCAGUUGGUGGACGCACCACCUUAUCUUUGUUAGGACAAAGAAAGAAAACAAGUGAUUUCCUAGGAGUCUUAUUGUUUACCACAGCUCUGUGUAAGCAACUCUUGUAUCUUCCAUUUGAUAGCGCCUGCAAAAGGUAAAACACUAAAUAUGUAAUAACUCUACUUCGUAGAACCAAGGGAGUGUAUAAUUGGGAUUCAUUCCACUUUUUUGUUCAUAGUGCGGAGAUCAAUUACGUGACCACUUUUUCAGUUUGUUCAAUGGAGAGUAUAUGCAUGCGCUACAAUAUCAAUAGGACAUCAUAUUCAUAUCGUACGGCCUAAGCACUCAUAAUGUAUAUCAUUGCACGUCAUGUAAAAAGAUCUUAAUUAUUUGUCACCUAAAUUUGUACUGUUUUAUCUAAUUGUCUCUCUUUGUAUUAUUUGUAUUUACUGUGUUAACUUAUUAGUUCUAAUGCGUAAAUUCACUUACCAUAAAUGUGUCACCUAUGUUAACCACAAACGUGUUGAAAUUUGUAUUGAUGGAGCACCAGUCGUCGCCAUCAAAAACUUGAAGUCCACCUACACAAUCUUGAUGGAGAAUAGUUAAUGAUGUUGGAUCAUAAUGAGGUCCCGUUCCUAGGGUGAGCUCUGGUUUCUGGCACGGCGGGUAGUAGUUGAGUCUCAUUAUGGAUUCAUUUUCUUCGAAAAAUUCUUUGAAGAGGCUCUUCUCUAUGCCUAGGCUCAUCCCUAAGAGUUCCAUGAUCUCAAGAGAAAGUGAGCUCAUGGCAUUGCAGUAUUCUUGAUAAACAUUCCUGUGUAAUUAUAGGGGGGAAAAGGUUAAUUCAUUUACCUAACUGAAAAAUGAGAAAAAUAGGUAAUCCAUUUGUUCGAAUUUGGUUCUUUGGUUUUCAUGUGAAACAAAACUUAAGAAAGUAAAGAAUAUUUUUUGAAUCUUGUGGUCUUAGACUAAAAUAUAUAGAAUCUGCCAUCUUUUUUUUUUUUGAUCUUGUAGUCUUAAACAUGUACUGUGAAAAGUUGAAAUUCUAGAGUUUCAAAAAAAAAUCUUUUUGAAAACGAUUGAAGAAAACAGUAAGAUGAACAAAUUAAAACAAAAGAGUAUGACGGUAGUAACUUGUCUUACCCAAGAUGGUUAAAACUUUCACCCAAUGUCCUUUGGAAAUACUCUUCAACUAUGUGAGAUGAGCCUUCUUCAGCAGAGUAUCGAAAAGAGAGUGUCUCUUUCCAAGGAAACUUUGAUGAAAACCUUUCAGUAAAUCUGCUGGCAUAGCCAAAAUGUUCACCAAUUUUCCUCUGAGCUUUUUGCUUUUCAGAGAGCGGCAAGUCAAAGAACGCGUCCAGGUAACGAUGAGCGUUCCCGAAAAUUGGUUUAUAAGUGGUGCCUUUAUCACUUAGUGCAUGUUAAGGAUUCUAGAUCCGAAGGUCCUGGGAUCACCAGAAAAGAAACCCUUUAAAUCGAUUGAAGGAACGGAAAGUUCUUGUGCUACAACACAAGGCUUCUCGUCAUCUGGCCAUAUGAAUUGUAUGGGAAUGUUGGAGUCAUGUUUCAUAUGGGGUGCAUCAAAAAUCAAUGGUUUUACCUCAUCUAGCAUAGAUGAUUUUCUAUUUGAAUUCAUACAAUCAAUGUCCAUUGGAUGCGAGGGUUUGUUUUUUUCUUCUCUAGCGCAUAUGGCUCACAAGAGAAAAUGAAGUAGGAACAAUUUUAUUGUGAUCCAAAGUGAAAGAGUGAGAGAGUUGAGAUAGGUUAAAAAAACUUGAAUCUAAUUGGUCUCUCCCUAUCAGAUAAAAUGAACAGCUUGCUGAGAAGGGCUUAAUGAUGCUUAAAAUUGGAGUAGAAAUCUAUAUGUUUGUUAUCUUUUUCAAUGUUGACCGUAGAACACUUUCGAUAUAUUUUGAAAUUUUAUUUUCAAUAUAUGUUUAACCAUAAAUUUUGAAAAUCUAUCUUCAAAAGCUUUUCAAGUAUCAAAAAAGGAUCUGAAAUAUUUACUAAGAAGGGCUUAAAUAAUACUUAAAAUUGGGGUAUAGGUCCGUAUGUUGUUUGUCUUUUAUAAUGACAGGAGAGUGUUUUUACAUAUAUUUUGAAAAAUUACUUUCAAAUAUAGGUUUGACCAUCGAAUUUGAAUCAGAUUUUAAAAAUUUGUCUUCAAAAAAUUUCCAAGUAUGACAAACAGGUCCGGAUAGUCUGUUGAAAAGGGCUUAAGCAUAUCUAUAUUCAUACUACCUUAAAAGUACCAACUCAAAAAACCUAAAGUGAAAUUACAAAAGUACCCUUAUUAUUUUACUUAAUUAAAUAACCUACUUAAUUAAUUUAUAUUUUUUAACCUAGCAUCCCGCAAGCAAAGAAAUGCUUCCGUGUUCAGCCUUCAUAUGUCAAUUUCUAAUGAAAAGUUGCCACCUUUCUAUUAAAAAAACUCGUCCUACUAUUCUAAAUCCAUGGACUCUAUGAGUGGCCACAACAUCCACCCAGACCACCAAUAUCCAUCAAUCUUGCCUCCACAAAAGUUCCUUUUCAUCUAUGUGUUAGAGUUCAUGCCCUACUGAUUAUCUUAUUUUCGCCUAAUUAUUGCUUAUCGGUGGAACGGGUUGCCUGACGUGUUCCACUGACGUGUUUCAAGGAAGCAGUAAAACAGAAAGUAAAGAACACAAUGGUUUUUAUAUGGAAAACACCCGGCUUAAAAGGUGUAAAAAAAUCACGACCUGCACCUCUACAGGAUUUAACCCCAACUUCACUAAAUAACUCUGAGCCUCAAGAACCACUGAUUACAAAACUCUUGUAACCAACAAAUAGGAAUCAUAAAAUCUGAUCCCUAUAUCUCAACAACAUGGAAUUAUAAACUCUAAUUCCUUUUAACUCAACAACUAGGAAUUAUAAACUCUAAUUCCUAACUACACACACACCUCCCAAGGUAUGCGUUCCCAAAGUCUUUGAGUUUUUCCCAACUCCAAGACUAUCUCCUAAUUCAGUUUAUAACACACUGAAAAAAAUAUUACAUCAAUAGCUAAAACACAAUGAAAAACUCUAAAUAUCAAAGCUAAAACUCUUAGCUGGAUUCUAUACUUAGGACUUGGUUCUUCAAUGUGUUUCUUCAGUGAUUGAAUAACACUUCGUGAAGUCAAUCUGUCAAUUGUGCUUUUCUUCUUUGUAAGUGUGUGUCUUUCUUUGAAUCUCUUCCCUUGUAUUUAAAGCAACCAUGAUGGAGACCUUCAUUUGAUUUCCUCUCCUAUCUUAAAUUGGACUCUCUUCAGUUGAUGUCCUCUCCUAUCAUGAAUUGGACUCCUUUUAGUUGAUGUCCUUUCCUAUGUUGAACUGGACUGCUUUCACUCUUAUUGUUGAUGCCGCCUCUCUCUCUCCUAUAUUUACUAGAACUCUUUUUCUUGUAGAACUCCUUGAUCAACUAAUCUUCUAAAUGAUGUAGCUUGCUUUGUCUUAAUGUUCUGUCUGCCUUGUAAUAAAUUCAACAUACAACUUAUAAUGUGUUGUAGUCAAACUUCAACUCUUUAAAUCAACUUAUCUUCAAGUAUUUUACUCAACCACAACUUCUUCAAUUUCUCACGUGAUCAGUAGCUUAAGGAUAUCAGAAUUAGGCUUGCUCAUUAGUUCCUGACUUUCGGCAAUCUUUGUGUGCAUCUAUUAGUAAAACCUGAAACCUGCCUUCCUAUGCUUGGACUAGGUCAAGUAACAUGUUCCAUUCAUGUGUCAGUCAUCAAAAACUUCAUUGAUCUAACAAAGAGUCCUUCAAUUUAUAUGUUUCCUAUCUUGUGUAGACAUCUUGAAUCUGCAGAAUCUUUCUCCUUCUACACAUAGGACUCUUCAGGAUAUGCUCAGAAGUGAAACUCCUUCUUUACGUAGGACUCCUUUUUCAACUCAACUUUCUUUCCCUUAUCAUCAAGUGUUUGAAUCAAAUUCAACUUGUUCUAUUUCCCAUAUGAUCAGUAAGUUGAAGUUUCCACUUGCACUAAAUUAACUCAUAUCAACUUGUUUCAUUCAUAUUGUCAUUCAUCAAAAAUUCAAGGUUCCAACACUAUGACAUUGUCGCUUGGGUCAUCCUCAUUCGACUAUUUUAAAUUUUAUUUUGAAGAAGUUUUCUUUAUUUGGAUGGAGGAGGUGAAUUGAAAAGUCUUCAGUCCUAUCUUCAACAAAAAGGUAUUGAACAUUUAGUUUCACCUCCCUACAUGCCACAAAGCGUUGCCAUAGCUGAACUUCGCCAUCAUCAUAUUGUUGAAACAACCAAAACCCUUCUCUAAGAAGCAUCCCUACCACCAAAACUAUGGUCUUUUGCCUGCCAUCAAGUUUUUUAUUCAUUAAUCGACUACCCACACCCAUCUUAAAUAACGAGUCACCCUACCAAAAAUUAUUUGGUAAAUCACCCAACUAUGCCAAUUUUAAAAUUUUUGGUUGUCUUUAUUAUCCAUGGCUUAACUACACCAAAAAUAAGUUGGAGCCUAAUUCCACCCCUUGUGUGUAUUUAGGUGUUUCUCAGAGACACCAUGCACACCUCUGCUUUGAUCCAGUGCAGUAAAAAAUAUUCAUCAGUCGUGAUGUUCUUUUUAAUGGAAAAAAAAUUCUUUUAAAACAAUGUUUCUACAUAUAAGGAAAAACUUUUAUCAACUGACUGCGGCUAUUCUAGGUAAUUCUACACUUUUUCUACUUCUUCCCACCAUCACAAAAUCUCAAACACCCAACUUUUACCUUUGAUAACAUAUCAAAGACGUAAAUCUAACACUAACAAUCUACAUCAAAUCCCAAAUGCUCCAUCUCCAGCCACUAUUUCACUAUUGACAACUUCUACUUCCUGGCAGUGGAAGUCCCAUCCCCGAACAACCCCCCAUGCCAAUUCCAGAGCUCGUAGUAAACCGAAUGACCACUAGGUCCCUGAAUAAUAUUACCAAGCCCAAAAGACAAUUUAGUUUUCUAACUCACUUCACUAGUACACCAACAACCUUUAAACAAGCCAACAUCCACAAAGAGUGGAGACAAUAUAUGCAAGCAGAAUAUGAAUCUUUAAUAAAGAAUUAGACUUGGGAAUUGGUACUAUGAGACUUAACGAAGAAUGUUGUGAACUGCAAAUGGUUGUAUAAAAUUCAAAGAAAAGCAGACAGUUCUAUAGAUCGAUACAAAUCUCGCCUUAUUGCAAAGGGUUUCACACAACGCCAUGGCUUGGAUUUUCAUGAAACCUUUAGUCCAGUUAUUAAUCCAACAACACUACGACUUGUGUUAUCUAUAGCAGUGAAGCACAAUUGGCCGAUUUGUCAACUCGACGUCAAUAAUUCUUUCCUACAGGCCAAUUGACUGAAGAGGUUUUUAUGUCUCAACCUCAAGGAUUUAUCAAUUCCCAAUUACCUUCUCAUGUUUGUAGAUUAAAAAAAGCCAUUUAUGGUCUUAAACAGGCCUCGGUCUUGGUAUACUGCAUUACAUAAUCAUCUACAGAAAAUUAGAUUUAUCAAAUCUUAAUGCGACACCUCUUUGCUUAUUUUGAAGAAUAUAGCCUACUGCUUAUGUGCUCAUUUAUGUUGAUGACAUUUUGAUCUCGGGAAGUCAUCCCAACUUGAUUAAACAUGUAUUGAUUCCUUGGGUUCUCUUUUUUCUCUAAAGGAUCUUGGCAAUUUAAACUACUUCUUGGGUGUGGAAGCAAAAAAAAUGUUAGAUGGUCUUAUUCACUCUCAGUCGAAUACAUACUUGACAUUCUAUCUGAAUUAGAUAUGCAAAAUUGUAAUCGACAUUCUAUCUGAAUUAGAUAUGCAAAAUUGUAAAGGAAUUUCGACACCAAUGUGCUAUGGUAAACUACCUCGGGUAGCUGAUAAUUCUCCACCUAUGAAUCCUCCACUCUACAGGAUCACCCUCGGUAAGAUGCAAUAUUUAUCAUUUACAUGGCCUGACAUUUCUUAUGUUGUCAAUAAACUGUCACAGUUUAUGCAUGAUCCUACUGAUGAAGACUGGAAUGCGGUUAAAAGGAUACUUGUCAUGACCCGAGCUAAGACCCUGUCCGCGAUGAGCAUUUCGAACCAUAAAAGCUCGGGCGCCCAUCUCUAUUUGGCAAUAGUGCACACCAUUCAUAUACUAUAAAGAAAUACAGAAAAUAUAAUAAGAUGAAAACAUGGUCAAUCUCUUAGUUUAACUGAACAAUUCAAAAAGGGAGUUCUUGACAUUCAAAACACAUGACACUAGUCUGUGAAAUCUCUAAUAAUACAAGAACCAACAUAUGUAAUAAAACUGGGACAAGGACCCAGUCGAACCAUGAAUCAAAAUAAAUUCUGAAAUAAGGGAGGCUCAUCAACUGCACACUUUGGACAGCCCAAUCUACAGCUCAGUGAGACCUCGGGACUGUGCCUCAGAUCCUGAAAUAUAGGGGGGUCAAUACAUAUUUAUUGGUAUGUGAAACAACCCAAAAAUAGCAUGAUUUUUUACAAAAUAGGUGAAAGCAUUUCACAAUAAAAGUGAACAUUUUGUAAGUAAAAUACAUGGGAUAUUUGAUAAAUUUCAAAUCAAUUCUUGACAACCUUGACUCACUCUUUGUUAUUCUUCUAAGUUAGUCGGUACACCCUACAAAUCUGUAAUCCCACGGGCUAUGUGGGACUCACUCUUGGCUCGGCAAACAAGCCUCCAAUCCAAGUAUCCGCCAUAAUUGGAGUAGUGAUACCUCCCAUGUAAGCACAACCAGGAAAUCUCCCCAUGUGAGAUGUCCUAAAAUAAUAUCCUUUUAUGUAGGAUCAUACAUCAUAAGUCCCAUAUUGAAAACUACGAUUUCCAGCGAUAAGUACUUGCACUUAAACUCCUUCUUCGGGUAACAUACUAUCUCUCUAAAGCCCAACUUUUAGUUCUUUAAAGAAGGCAUGUUCAUACUUUCAAAACAUAUAACACUGUCUUAGGAUCAUAAUAUGGAUUAUAAUGCUUAGGUAUAAUUUAAAUUCAUGAGGAAGGAGUUUGGGAUGGGAAAGUACCAAAAUAUCCCUUUAAAAUGAUACUUUAACGUUGUUUGGACUUUUACCGAUGGCCUAGGUGACGGACUGACACUCCCGUGACUGGUCAUCACUCAAACCGUCACAAAAAACCCAAUUUUUGAGCUUGUUGUUUCAAGUUGAUGUCCUAACUUGACGGACCGUCACUGGCUUGAUGGUUCGUCCCGUCGCAAUUUGGCAGACUGACACCUCUCAGUAAAACGGGUGUAUCGUUUUACCCCGAUAUUGGAUUAAGGAGAAACCGGUGAAGUUGGAAAAAGGACUCAAAUGCCUUUCAUUUGAUAUAAGUAGGACCCCUAAUUAUUUAUAUACAAAAAGUUAUGGUCGAUGGAAGUUGACCCAAGUUUAGACGUUCACUAAAACUUAAUCGAUAGAAGAGUUUUCAACUCGUCUUUGAGUUAGGAGAUUUUUGUGACCUCAAUUCAUAUUCAAAGGUAUUCACACACUAUAAGAUUGAUCAUCACACAUAUAUUAACAAAGAAUCAUUGGGUUUGGGUCUAUACGCAUAGGAAGAACAGUUCAAACUUUAUCCCAAAAGUGUGGGGUAUUACAAUACUAUGGUAUCUCAAAUCCAUGACAACUUUAGGUCUUCAUAUUCAUCGCAACUUGAACUGCAAUCUUUACAUUUAUGCUAAUGUUGAUUGGGUGAUGUUGGGUUCGACAUCUAGAAGCUUUUCGUUUGCAAACCAUAAGACGAUAAAUCAAACGACACAUAAAAAAUUAAACUAAAAAUAUAUUAUUGUAUAUGGUUUGGCCAAAUGGCCUACAUAUUAAAAAUAAAAUUGAAAAUCCUAAAAUUUAUUGAGAGAAAUUUUCCCCUAAACAAAGACUCUUUAAAGACUACAUUGUGGAUGUUAUUGUGUUAUGGUAUGAGAAGAGGGUCUUCUAUUUAUAGAUGUCCAAAACUUUUCCUCCAAGAAAGAGGUUAGCCAAAUAUGAAAAAGAAUUAUAUUUUUUUCUUUCAGGAAAAGUAAAAGUAACUAUGGUAACUUUUAUUUUCCUUCUAAGAAAAAAUAAAAGUUAAAUAUAGUAAGAAAAUCAUGGUAAAAACCCUAACAAAUCUCCCCUUUUUGGCUUGAUUUUUUCACUUGAUCCGUUUUCUCUUUAUAUCACGUGCAUGAACUUCGUUCUUGAUAUAAUCUUCAUAACUGUUGCUUGCCAUGGUUAAAAAUAAGGUUUAAAAUAUCAUGGUUAAAAAUUGGUUUAAAAGUAAUAUUUUAUUUUUAUUUUUAAAGAUGCAGCAGCAGGAGUGUUGAAAAUAUGGUUGAAACUUGUUCUCCAUAUGUAGUUCUACAAAAAUCUUCAUUAUCAUCCAAAUUGUUGCAGCUUGAUUUUGAAACCGCUUUGAACCUGUUUAAUCUCGUCUCACCAAUCAUUGAACCGUAAGCUCUGAUACCACUUUUUGGGUUCGAAAUCGAGAGGGCGUCAUGCGGAAGCUUUUAGUUAGCAAACCAUAAGACGAUAAAUCAGAUGGCACAUGAAAAAUUAAACUAAAAAUAUAUUAUUGUAUAUGAUUUGGCUAAACGGCCUACAUAUUAAAAAUAAAAUUGAAAAUCCUAAAACUUAUUGGGAGAAAUUUCCCCCUAAACAAAGACUCUUUAAAGACUACAUUGUGGAUGCUAUUAUGUUAUGGUAUGAGAAGAGGGUCUUCUAUUUAUAGAUGUCCAAAACUUUUUCUCCAAGAAAGAGGUUAGCCAAAUAUGGAAAAGAAUUAUUUUUUUUUCUUUCAGGAAAAGUAAAAGUAAUUAUGGUAACUUUUAUUUUCAAAAAAAAUAAAACUUAAAUAUAGUAUGAAAAUCAGGGAAAAAACCCUAACAGGUGGGAGACCGAAUGACAGAGUAUCCACAUCAGGCUAUGUUCUUUUCUUUGGGCGCAAUCCGACCAAUUGGUCAUCACAAAAGCAACAAGCUGUAGCUCGCUCAUCUACUGAAGCAUAGUACAAAUCAGUUGCAAAUGCUCUUGCAGAACUCAAAUGGGUGCGCAACUUGCUCAAUGAAUUGUGUAUAACCAUUCCAAAUACACCCACAAUCUUCUGUGACAAUGUCGGUGUCACUUACCUCUGUCAUAAUUCAGUGUUCCAUAGCCGUAUGAAACAUAUUGCUGUCGACUUUUGUUAUGUUAGGAACCAAGUUCAAGCGCAUCGGGUUCUUGUCAAACACACUCAUGCUUGUGAUCAACUUGCUGAUACACUUACCAAGCCAUUACCAGAACCAGCCUUUGCAUGGUGUCAUUCCAAGUUAGGCGUGGUUGCACCACACCUAACUUGAGGGGGUGUAUUAAGUAUAAUUAUUUUAUAUUAUCAUUUAUUAGAAUAAGUUACUGUUAUAGUUACUGUGUUUUUGUAUUUGUAAAAGACUCCGUCUAUUGUAGGAGUUUAUUGUUGUUGUAUAGCUAUAGAAGACUCCAACUAUUCAGAGUAUACGUAGCAAUUAGGUUCCUUAAGUUCAGUCGUAGGUUGUUGUUAUUUAUUGUAUUUAAAGUUUGGAUGCUUAAGGAAUAAAAUCAUCUUUCAACUACUUCUCUCUAUCUGAUUUUAUAGCAUUCUCAAAUUACCGUUUUAACAGGUUAGCAUUCUCAUCUAUAUGUCUUCUUCUUCUUUUUAAAACUUUUUAUUCUAGGACUAAAUGUGCAAAUAAACAGAAGAUUAUACGAGGGAUGAUACGCGAUCCAGUUUAUCUUUGCGAUCACAUUGUAAAAUCUGUAAUUACGACAUUUUAAUUGAUUUUGCUUAAUUUACUUACAAAAGUUUUGGUUUCUAGACCAAAGCAAGGCUUUUGUGCAGUGUCUGCGUAUAUCAAUUGCUUAUAAGAUGCAACUUUUAUAUCUGCCAUAUAGUUUAGGAUUCGUUUCGUUCUUUUCCUUUUAUUUCUGAAUUAAUUUGAUUUACUAAAUUCUUAACUAAUACCAAUACUUUAAAAAUAAAAAAUUAAUAGCCGCUACAACCUAAAGCCUUAGCAAAGCGUUGUCACCUCCAAUAAUCACAAAUCAGAUGGACACCAAUCUCAACCAUAACAGGUGAUUUUUCAGCCAUACGACAUCACACUACUAAAGCCUUAGCGAAGAGGUGGAGCCUCCAACUCUCACAAUCUGGACAGACGCCGACAAGUAUGUGCUGCUACUCCUCCUUAACAAUAUAUUUGCUAUUACUUCUCUUUAACCAAACUUACUUCCUUCUGAAUCAAAACAUGUUCCACCUUCACUAAUCACUAUCAACUUAAAAGUUUGAUGCAUCUCUUAGGGCUCUUUUAUAAUAAUACCAUCUUAUUUUCAAAGUUCCUUCCAAUUGUGAUUCCCAUUUAACUUUACAGAAACUAAUUGUGAUUCCCGUUCUACUUUACAGAAACUAAGGCUUAGCCCAUCUGCUACACUUUUGAGUCUACCAGUGCCUUCUGCCUCUGAUAAAACAGCUAACUUCACCACACGUAUUUGGAACCUGGUUCAGAGAAACACAGUAACAGUAAAAGCAAACUGCAACAGAAUUAAGCUAGGAGAUUUCAACUCCAAUCUCCACUACUUUCACAAUGUUUCAGAUUACAACUCAGCAAUAUAAGGGACUCACUCGAGUACCUCACUUCGACAAUUAACUCUAACUGUUCUACACACAACUUAAUCACUCCAGGAAGUCAAACUCGCUUCUUGUUACAACACCUCACCCACACUUCACUUCUAACUAUAAACGAAGACUAUUACAACUCAAAAGAAACACUUCUAUGGCCAACACCAAACAAUUACCUAGUAAUAGCUUGGUCCCGAUCUAUUGCUCGAUAUACUUGCUUGCUCCUUCUUGCUUUUCCGAUUUUCAGAUUUGUGGAUUUUCAAAAGUUGUGUGCACCGCUUCCCAGCAAUGCUGCAUAUAUACUGCUUUCUCUUCGACUCCCUUUAGGUCACCAAAAACGUUUCCUUGUGGAAACCAACUUGUAUAAGGAAACCAGCUAUAAUACACCUCUUUACCAUGAUAAAAAAGAUUUCCCUUUGACUUGAAAUUUUGGAUUCUUUUCAAUAUGUUAAUUGUGCAUUCCUUAUUUAAACAAGUACGCUGCUGCACGUCACCUAGUUAAAUAUUCCAUCCCCACAAUAGCCAAGAACCUGGUUCAUAAUCAACAUGAAACUGGUUCAGAGGUCAAUCAUCAAAACUAUAAUUUCAUAUCUCCUAGACACAGGUUCAGCAUAACUUCACAAAAAUAGUCCCCAUGUCUCACCAAAAACAAUGCAACUAACUUCCCCCUUUUGGCAUCAUUGAAAAGAAGACAAAACAAAUUAGUGCAGAGAACGCUCACCAGAACACCACCAAAAUAGUACGCAAAAAUCAGCCCAAUGAUAUUAAUUAUCCAGUUGCAAGCAUAAACACAAAAAAUAGAGCAAACAACAACAACCAAGGCAUUGUACCAACAUAACAAGCACUAUAUGUGCUGCACAAAAACGCCAAGUCUGAGCAAUAGUCAAAACAAAAUGUUCUAGAGGGAACAAAACAAGAAAUACGGGACUAAGAGGAGGGUGGUGGAGGAGGUGAAGGAAUCCGUCCAACCAAGGACAUCAUCAUCUCAAAACGCCUGCCGAGAGCAAUCUGUUCAUCUAACAUUUUAGCACGAAGACGAUUAUUUUCGGACUGGGCAGCCUGUAAGUCCUGUCGAAGUGCAAAAAUCUCACCCUCCAAAGUAAGUGCACGCGCCCGAGCAAGCUGAAAUUCAGCAAGAAGGCUUGCCACAGAACAUUUUCC